GUAGUAGAGAUGCAACAAGUGACCAAAAUCUUUGGCUUCGCGGGGCACACGAAGGCGGCGGUCGUGAUUGCCUUGCACUUCCUCCUCUGUGCUCUCUAUAUCUUCCUCGGGGCUCUCGAGGUUUAUGCUCUCGAGGAACUUUACAAGAAGCUCCAUCAGAGUUGAAGGUAUCUCGCUGUCCAAGGUGGGCGUGACGAGUUCGAACAACUCGUCGAGCACGAAGAGGGGGAUUUGGUUCUCGAGCAAGAGCAAAUCGUCGCGAAUGAGCGGCAAGCUCCAAUCCGCAGCGAACAAGCCGUCCUUGUUCCCUUGGUACCACUUGAUGAGGAACUCUAGGAUGAAGCACCCGUCGAGAAGCAGGAUCUCCACGAACUUCUUGGCGUUGAGCUUGACAGGUUCGAAGUAGCACCGCCGCGCCUUUGGCUCCAACUCCCUGAUCUUGGCUUUGUAGUAAUUGUUGCGGCUGUCGCCGCUGCGAGAGCGGAAUGACUGGAGGUAACGUUGUUUAAGCCACUCCGUCUCCCGAAGGGAGGGCUCGUCACGGCGACCGUAGGGGCCGAUGGCGACCAUUCGGGGCUCGUACAGCUCCUUGUUGCGCUCCCGGAUGAGGGCCGGGACGCGGAAGAACGUGAACUUCUUAUCCGCAGCCGUCAGCUCAUCGCUUGAGGGGCGUUGUAUAUGCCUGGCGAGUACCAGGGACUGGGGAAUAUCUAUUCUCGCUUCUUCCAAUCCUUCCAUCGUCAACUUAUUGCAGAGUUUCUCAAACGCUCACGAAUUAAUUGGUGCACAAAAAAUAGGUGGGAAGAGUUUUCCUCCCUCGGCUUAUUUAUAGCCGCAGACGCAGAAGGGCUCCCUGGAUUGGGACAGAAAUUAUUUGGAGACUUGGAUUUUUUGUUUUUGUUUUUUUUUUUUUUUUUUAGAAAUAGAUAGUAAACUAUCUGCUUCAUUUAUUAAGUAAAAUGAAUUGAGCGUACAGAGAUGAAAGCAGCUUAGGCCUUCCGGAGACUUGAAAUUCAAAGUGUAUAUUUGAGCCCGUCGAAUAUAUCGCGAUUUGGGCGUUAGAUUUCACAUCUCGAGCAAAAAUUUAAUAUAUAUUUAAAAAUCACAAAAAAAUAAAAAAAUUUAAAUAGUUUUUUAGAUAAAUUUUUAGUUUCAUAACUUAGUAUCGAAUUAAUUUUCAAACUCUUAAUUUUAAAAUUUUUAAAAUUCAUUAAUUAUUUUAUGUUAGAUAAAUUUAUUUAAUUUUUAAUGCUAAUCUUUUUCUUUUCUUUUUUUUUGAGAAAAAGGUGAUAUAUUAUCCGUUUCGUUUAUUUUUUUGAAAAGAAACUCGUACCGAAUUAUGAAGCAAUUAGGUUUCAAAUUUAGAAUUUUAGUUACUAACCACCAAAUCUGCUGUCACUUACACUAAAGACGGACAGUUAUUGGUGGAUUUACAUAAAAAUUAUUUUUUAUCUAAAGAUCAAAAGUCUGCAUAAUUAUUUGUCAUUAAGUUUUGAAACUAAAAAUUUCAAAUUUCUUUAUAGUAAUUUUUUUAAUAGAUAUACAAUAUUUAAAUUAAUUGGUCGAAAAAAGUUUGGAUCUGCUUAGUGCUGAAAAGAGCCGGACGCCAAUGUUCAUUCUAAUAAAAUAAGGUGUUUCGAAAUAUGAAAUUACUGCACACGGGAAGAUAAAUUUUACAUUCGAAAAUUCAUAAUUUUUUUUCUUUAACCCUUUUUGACUUUUAUGCCCUGUGGUGUCUAUCUCCUUUUCUUGUGCACGUGUUAUAUAAGACCAGGGACGAAGCCAGGAUUUAAUUCUGGGGGGCCAAAAAUAUAUUAUGCAAAAUAUAUUAAUAAAACAAACUAUAUAUAAUAAAAAUUUGAAGUACACAAAUACAAAAAAAAAACUUUAAAAAUUUUACGUACCAUACAAAAAUUAGAAUAGUGCUCGGCGCUCCUUCCAGUCACGAAAUCCAUCAAUGAUUGAAUCAAUAGUAAACUUCUCGGCAAUUUCUCUUUCAAUAUACACGAUCAAAGAAUUAGUGAAAAAGUCAUCAUUCAUCUUAUUCCGGAGAUCGGUUUUGAUAAUACUCAUCGCGGAAAAUACCCGUUCAGUUGUUGCAGUUGAAACUGGAAGAAGUAAUACAAAUUUAACUAAUCUGUAGAGAAGUGGAUAUAUUUCUGACUUUCUUGUUGCCACCAACCAUUGACAUAAUUCAGAAAUAAUUGUCAAUUACUUGAAUAGUUGAACAAACAACAACUAAUAAAUCAAGAGCAUACAAUACAAUGACAUAAAAGAAAAUAUUUAGUUAUUCACGAUUGACGGUUCACUCACCGAUCAGGCGGUCACCAAAAAAUUAUUCAAAAGAAGCUGAUAGUCCAGAAGGGUGUAGGCGUGUAGCCGUGUAGUUCGAGGCGCUGAGCGGCCCGAGCCCGAGCGGGCGAGCGGCGAGGGGCGAGCACCAUCGGCGGCCAGCGUCCGGCGGUCCAGCAAGCUAGAGAGAGAUUGAAAUUUGAGAUAAGUUAGAGAAAGAGAGAGCUCUGAGCCUGUGACUCUCGGAGGCUGGGAAAUGGGAAUGGAAGUGUGGAAAUGGGAGAGAGAGAAAGAAAGUGUGGAACUGUAAGAGAGAGAGAGAGCGACGCUUUGCCAGUCGCCUUUGGGCGCCUCCUCCCACACCAGUGCGACCAAUCUGUCAAAUUCCACACUAAUUAACCACUCUCUCCUCNNNNNNNNNNNNNNNNNNNNNNNNNNNNNNNNNNNNNNNNNNNNNNNNNNNNNNNNNNNNNNNNNNNNNNNNNNNNNNNNNNNNNNNNNNNNNNNNNNNNNNNNNNNNNNNNNNNNNNNNNNNNNNNNNNNNNNNNNNNNNNNNNNNNNNNNNNNNNNNNNNNNNNNNNNNNNNNNNNNNNNNNNNNNNNNNNNNNNNNNNNNNNNNNNNNNNNNNNNNNNNNNNNNNNNNNNNNNNNNNNNNNNNNNNNNNNNNNNNNNNNNNNNNNNNNNNNNNNNNNNNNNNNNNNNNNNNNNNNNGGAUAUCUAAAAAAUGAAUAUAGAAAUGAAUAACCAAAUAUUUUAAUAGUAUUAUAUUUUAUAUUAAUAAAUUAAAUUAUAAUAUUAUUUGAUUCCUAAUAUGUGUGUGGAUAUAUGGAACAUAAAGACAACAAUAGUUAUUAUUUGUGGGAAGAUAAUAAGGAGUUUGAUAACUUUUAAUGAAAGGAUAAUAUAUCCUGAUGGAAAAAUAAGAUUGUUUUUUUGUAAUCUUCAUUUAUUUUAUUAUGAGUUUCAUAUGUAUAAAAAUUACACUUGUAUAUAUUAAAUCUUAAAUUUUAUUCAAUUACAUAUAUAUAGGUAUAUAUAAAAAUAUGAAAAUAAUGUAAAAGUUUAUUGCAUUGUUGUCAAUUCUAUUUCAUAUUUAUAUGUAUAUAUUAGUGUAUGUUAUCAUUAUUCGACUAGUAUCCGAAUAUUUAUUCGAUCCAUAUUUGAAUCUGAAAAUAUAUCUGAUUGUAUUUAAAUCUGUUUUUAGUGAAUUUUAAGGUGUGUGAUAUUUUGGUGUUUAAAAUUUAUUUUGUUGUUAUUUUUGACUCAAAUUCUAUUAAUUAUUGCACUCAAAAUCUAUAGUAUAAUUUAAUUAACUGAAAAUUGAUGUUUCACCAAUAUAAUAGUAAUUUAUGACAUUAAUUAUAAUACAACAACAUCACUGUCAUAUUCUUAAUAUGAUCAUUAUUUAACCAACUAAAUUAAAUAGUAAACUUUAUUAUGACAGUUUAAAGUAAAAAAAAAAAAAAAAAAAUACAACAGAGUAAAGUUCAACAUCUCAAAGUUUGAGGACGAGAAGCGCAAUUUAUCAGAAAAUUUUGAGUCAACUUAAAAGUCUUCAUUCUUACUUAAUUUUGAGCCGAUUUUAUUAAUUAAUUCUGAAUUCGAUCCAAUUAAUUAAACCGUCUUGGAGAGAGAAAUUAUUGUCUGCAACCAGAUUCAUAUUUCUCAUAUAAUAUGCUUUAUAUUCGACGAUUAGUUAUUUAAAAUUAAAAUAUAUUCUGAGAGAUAAGAUAAACAACAUUUGAAGGAUUGACGUGUAAAUAAUUAUAAAUUUUUCAAAUAUAUUACUUAUUAUUAAACAGUCUCGAUAGUAGGUUUUACUCAAAAGAAAAUUUGUUUGAAGGAGGAUUUCUUUUUUGAAAUCACUAAUAUAAACACAAGGAGGUUGCAUUCUCACGCUGUCAAUUUAUUUUUAAAAAAAUUAAAAUUUUAAAAUAAUUUUAAAAUUGUAGAUUUGAGGGUGUAAGAUAUAGAUCUUUUGCUAAGGAGUACAACUAAGUUUUAAACAUUUCGGACCUGUUAUUUUGGCUCAAAAAUUUUCUAAUUAUUACAACUCAUCUAGCCGUUAUGGUGCGUGCCAUCAUUUCGACCGAAUAAUUUUUUAAAUGAAGAGGAGUAAAAAAUACUACUACAUGCAGUCAGGCAGUCAGCCGAGAUGGAGUUACAUAAAAAGUGCAUUUUGGUCGUCACUAGGGGUGUAAUGUGGGCUGUGUCCGACUGGGACAGCUCACAUUAUCCGGACCAAAAUGGGUUAUGGGCGGGCUUUGCCCGGUCUGGCUUCAAAUUCAGGUUGGGCCAUACUGGGCCGAAUUAUCAAGUCUCCAGCCCAAUACAGCCCGAAAGGCACGGGCUGGGUCAGUUUUACAUCCCUCGGCUGCAACCAUUUUCAAUUUUUUUUUAACAAAUUUUAGGGAAAAUUUUAAAUACCCCAUUGGUUUUGCACUUUCUCACUUUAGUACCCUGUGGUUUAAAGUGUAUUAAGUUAGUACAUCGUGGUUUCGUACUUUCUCACUUUAAUAUCCUGUGGUUUAAAGUGUAUCAAGUUAGUACUUUGUGAUUUCGUACUUUCUCACUUUAGUAUCCUGUGGUUUAAUAUUUCGUUAAAUUAUAUACAAAAAACUUUAGAUACUCUAUCUAAGUUUAUCGAAUAUUUAUUUUAAUACUAUUUAGUUUUAACUUUGUCACUGAUUUAACGAAAAAAAUACCUCGAAGUGGUAAUAAAAAGAGAAAAAAAAAAAAUCAUAGAGUACUAACUUGAUACAAAAAUGAAACCACAGCGUACUAACUUGAUACACUUUAAAUCACAGGGUAUUAAAGUGAGAAAGUGCGAAAUCACAUGGUACUAACUUGAUACAUUUUAAACCAUAUGGUACUAAAUUGAAAAAGUACGAAACCGUAAGGAAGUUUUUUGAAGUUUUUCCAAAAUUUUAUAAAAAUUUUCUAAAUAAGGUGUGGCAAACGUAAAAGUAUUAAAUUGUAGGGGCCAAAGUGAAGCGUUUUGUUAAAAAGCUUGUACUAAUUUGCUUUCUAAAAAUCUUUGUUAUAAAAGCUUGUUAUAUUUUGCUUUGUAAUUUUUUCAUAAAAAGUUUGUACAUCCGACUUUUAUUAUAAUCUAUUUUAUAAUAAUUCUUUUUUUCUUUUUUUUUUUGAGAAAAAGGUAGCACGCUACCUGCUUCAUUCAUUCAGAUAAUAAAUUUAGCUACAAUGAAUUAAUCCCUCUUCGAGGGUAAAAUAAUUAAUUUUAGAAUAAAUAUUAAUUUGACUUCGUGUUUUAGUUUAUAUUUACUUUGUACCAUAUAGUUCAAAAACUCUCAUUGAACAACCAUAUGAUUUUAUCUUUAUUUGUAUAAAAAAAAAAAUACUAUUAAAUAAAAUAAAAAAAUAUUUUUUUGGAUUACUAUAAAAUAGAUAAAUACAACUUUUUGAACCAUGGAAUAAUAAAGUAAAAGUGAGCUAAACUAUAGAGUAAUUAAGUGUAAUUUUUUGAAUUACAGAAUACCAAAAUAAAAUUGAACUAAACUCCAGAGAGGCAAAUUAAAGUUUACUCUUUAUUUUAUGAACCAUAGAUAACCGAAAAGCUUGUAGAUCAUACUUAAUAUUUCAUGGAUUAGUCUUUUAAAAUCAAAAUCCAAUCCAAUAAAUAUAGUUUGUAUACAGAAUUAAAUAGCUUUAAAACUAAAAAUAAAAAUAUUAUUCGAUUUAUAAGAAAAUGUCGUACACAAAUAUAUUCGGGUAAACUGUGUGCUAACAAUCUCUUAUAAAGUGAAUUUAGUAUCACAUAAAUUUUUAACAUUUAAAAUAUCAAAUUUGCUGAUGGAAAAAAUUUUGAAUUUUAGAUAAGCGUGCGAGCACCNUAAACUGUGUGCUAACAAUCUCUUAUAAAGUGAAUUUAGUAUCACAUAAAUUUUUAACAUUUAAAAUAUCAAAUUAGCUCAUGGCGACAUUUGAUCUUAAAUUUGCUGAUGGAAAAAAUUUUGAAUUUUAGAUAAGCGUGCGAGCACCAAAAUCGUGAGUUAGAAUAAAAUUAUUUUAAUAUUUUGCAGUAAAAUUUAUCCCUUUUUAAUGCUAGAUUUUUAGACAAAAACAAAAAAAAGGGUUGACCUACUCAAUAGCGAAACGACCAAGUCAAACUCUUACCGAGUCAAAGGAAAUGUCAAGCUUAUAAAAAGAGUGGGUGCUACAGUGAUAUUCUAUGCAAAUCCUUCCACUUCCAUCUCUCUCCCCCCUCUUUCUCUCUCUCUCUCUCUCUCUCUCUCUCUUUAAGUUGAGAACUCUGAUUCUUGAAUCACUAUUGCUGCAUAAAAAGGUAUGAACUCUUAUUAUAAUGAUUUGUAAAUUAAGCCAUUAGUUUGUUUGCAUUCGAUUCUCAUUGUCCUAAUAGGCUAUAUAUCCUGUAUAAAGAGAGCUCGUUGUUUCUCUGAUAUUGGUAGUUUGUAAAAUGUGCUUCUAUGUAAACUUACCGACAUGGUACGCGCAUUUUUACUAAAAAUUUUGCAGGAAAGAUGCCGAAAUUGAGAUCUUUGGGUGGUCGAAUACUCUAUGGUGUGACACGGCUCGAAGCUCACAUGCUGCCUCGCACCAACGGCGACAUGGAGAUAUUCGUGCGUUCGAACAACGGCAAUUAUGCGCUUGAGGUGGAUAGCUCGAACACCAUCUGGGAUGUGUUGAUCGCCGUUCUUGGCGAUAUACGCAGUUUAGGGCGAUGGCCGAAGCCUACGCUUUGGUUCAACGGCUCAGUGUUGGAGGAAGCUUAAUCACUUUCGGACUACGGAAUCCAUGACCGAUGCGUCGUUCAACUUAAGUACAUCAUAGGGCCAAACCGCGGUCCGAAUGAGUAUGUAUAGAUGUCCCCUUUCUAAUUUUCGCUCCUCAACCUUUUUUUUCAAUAAUAAUUCACUACAAUUAUCGAAAACAUUGCAUAAAAUCAAGCAUUGUACUUACAGACGGGAGUGGUCAAGCAGAAUAUUAGGACGAGGAAAGAUUGUAAUGAUUCUUCAGCCUUCAGUUAUAUGGCUAAAAGAGUAUGACAAAGUACUUCUUGAUUUGAUGGUAGUGCACACUCGAAAUGGCGGGAAUUUUACGAGAGAUUCAUGACGCGACAUAGUUGCUAGGUUCAAUAGAGUAACAGGGUUGAAUUAUGGAAUCGAACAUUUGGAACAUCGCUUGUACUAUUACAGACAUGAAUAUCGAAUAGUGAAAGGCAUCAUGAAUCAUCCUACAUUUAGUUGGGAUCAUCAACGACAAGUAGUAAUUGCUACAGAUGCUGAAUGGAAUGAUUAUAUCAAGGUAUAGGUAUACUAUUAUAUUAUUAUCAUUAUGCCGAUAUGGAUACUUAAUUCUACUCGAUUUAAAGUAUCUUUUUUUCUCUUACGCAGGUGAAUUCAGAAGCGAAGAUCUAUCGAUGGAGAACAGUACCGUAUUUUCAUCAGCUAGAAAUCGUUUGUUCGCGAUAAAGAGGAUAUUUUAUUCAUCAUUUGUAAAAAAAGAACUUUUAUUUCGCCAAAAUACAGCUAACAAUAAUUUUACCAUUGCAACAUUUGAUAACAUCGCAAUUUGAUUGUAGUAUUGGCUAGUGCUCCUGCAGUUGUACAAAGUUUCAAUCAAAGCAAUUGCUCCAAGUUCAGCUUAAUUUUUAAGGAAUCAAAUUGUUCCUUGUUAUUUUCUAGUUCAAAUAGUUCCACUAUUUUUAGAUCAUAUAAAUCCACCAUUCAUAUCUAUUUAAAACUUCAGACAAAGAUCAAAUGUUUGUGGUCAUCAGAAGAUCAAAUGUUUUGAAAGAUGAAAUACAAGCUCAUGCAUCAAGUAACAAAGAAAAAUCUCUCAAUCCAUGCGAUCUGUUUUAUUGCAACGGCAAGCUAGGGGCCGACGAUGCCUAGUACUUAACGACACUCUUUGAGGUUCGCAGCAGUCGGUAGAGUGUGCGGUUGGGGACGAUGUAGAACACGUCGCCCGUGUUGAGCAGCGCGUCGGGGCGGAGGACCAGCCGCGGGUUCUGGAACACCCGGGGGUCGGCUAUGGAGUGCCUUGGGUUCCGCGCCAUCACCUCCGCCGCCGCCAUGGGCUUCCGGUGGACCUCCACGAACCCACCGGGGUGGACGAGCUUCAGCACGCCGCGCUCGCGCCCCGCUACGCCCAUGGUUGGAGGUGGUGGUCCACUCCCCCCCUCCCUCCAACCACCACUUGCUUAAUGUGUGUGAAACUAAGCAGUGAUGGGGGAGAGACAGGAGCGCGAAGAGCUCAAACCUACCUACUGCUUUUUAUACUCAGGAGUGGGCAAAGUAAAAACAAUAUUUGAUCACCGGAUUUUUCAUCUAGGACUUUGUUCAAAGAGUUCUACUAAGAAAUGUUUUUGGCUUAUUGAUUUUGUCCACUAUCCCUUUCUGUUAGAUUAUUGGUUUUCACGUUUCCAUAUUGCGCCACGACGUACGCUCCAAGACACCAAUGUCACCAAGAUCAUUAACUUCAUCUGCAAAGCUUGUCUUUGUUGUUGGCUUCUACUGCUUCAUACUUCACUAUCCCUACUAUCCCUACUGAUCUUGUAAUGGUUCCUAGUGAGAGGAAAACAUGGAGAGAUAGGUUUAUAACCUCUAGGCACACUUCCUUUGUUGGACACUUUUAACAUUAUACAGGUUCGAGAGAAAUCAGAAGAAAAUUCGAUAAAGCAAAAGCAGAUUUGCUAUUCUUCCAUCAGUCUAAUACGUUUUCACGACCAUUUUUAAGGCCUAAAAUGUAGCUUUUAUGAUCGUGUCAUCUCACAUCAUCACAUUCUUUAUCUGAUAUUGUUAUUGCUAUUCUGAUUAAGAAAGUCAUACAUUCAAAAUAGCUAAUCUAAACAAUCCCCAUAGUGAAGAUCAUACAGGUUCGUGGCUCAAUGUGAAAACAAAAGAGAGAAUACAAAUCUACAUAAAUUUGCAUAAUGAUAAUAAAUGAAAGAAGAACAGAAUGAGAAUCAGGGAACAGAACAAAUGAAGCUUGAAAAUGAAAACAACCUUCCUCAACAGUCAUCACAUGUGGUUAGAGUGCUGGUUAGAGUGCUAAAGGUGCCAGUGGAUAAACUAAGGCAUUUUACAAUCGAAAAGAACAACAAAACCAAUAGUUGUAGAUACCAUAAGCAUAGUUAAAACAUAGAAUGCACUACUACCAUAAGCGAACAAACUUAUCCUUUUAUUAAACAGAACAAAGAUAGGUAAGAAAUGAAAAAUAGUAGCUUCAAUUUGUAUUUUUCCUCCAGAUCUUACACCAUUACUACUGCAAUUCCAGAUACCUUAAAAAAUUCGGAACACGUAGCAUCCCACAACAUCCAAAAAAAUUAAUCUUAUUACUAACGUUAGGGCUGCAGCAACAUCACAACGGCCUUCAUCAUUGCAAACUUUCACGAGAGGGCUAUAACAAAUUUGGCUCCACAUAAUCCACGAAAAGCAUGUGAAAUAAGCAGAGUCAUACUCGACGAGAAUUCAUAUGUAAGGUAACUUUGGAUCAUUCUAGGCUCCAUACUACCAACACAAGUUCAGCGCGAGAAAGAACGAAGCGUACAAAACUAAUCCUCUCAAGCUACUGAGGCAAUGCCUCUUCCACCUCCUUCCACAUAUCCGCAUUCCCUGAGAACUUCUCCUUUAUCUUCUCCACAAUCUCCUUAGCCUCCUCAACCUUCGACGCGCUCACGAGCCCGUUAACGAGCAUCUUCAUUGUCGAGAAGCACGGAAUCCAGUUCCUCGCCAUAGUCUCCCUGCACAACCCCAAUGCCGUCUCAAAGUCGCCGCCUUUACAUAGAUAAUAGAUCAAAGUGAAGUAAAACGCGCUAUCCCCCACACACCCUCUACUCCGCAUCUCCUUGUAAAGCUUCUUCGCCUCCUCCAAAUCCCCUUCUUUGCAGAACCCGUAGAUCAAAUGGUUGUAAGUGACCCAAUUCGGCUUCAUUCCCUUCCCCUUCAUCUCCUUAAGCAAGGCCAUGGCUUCCCCGGGGCGCUUGAGCUUGCACAAGCUCUGGAUCCGCACAUUGUAGGUGGUAAGCCCCGGGCGGCAAUCGUGCUUCUUCAUCAGCUCCAGAACCUUCUCCACAUCGUCGAAGCGCUCUUCUUUGUAGAAUCCGGCGAGCGCGGUGUAGAAUGUGGUCCGGUUGGGCUUGAUUUUAGCCCGGGACAUUUCGUCGAGCACCGAGAAGAAGGAGCGCGAGGUGCCGGACUCGGAGAAGGACUUGAGGACGGUGUUGUAGGUGUCGAGGUUAGGAUUUAUGCCGUGGGAGGCGGGGAGGUCGCGGAAGAGGCGGGGGACUCGGUCGUGGUUGCGGGAGAGGAUGCAGGCGAAGAGGAGGGCGUUGAGGGAGGGGAGGUCGGGGUGGGAGCGGAAGGUGCGGAGGGCGUCGUCGAGGAGGCCGGCUUGGCCGAAGAGGACGAUGGCGUGGGAGAGGUGGCGAGGAGGGGAGUGGGGGGAGAGGAGGAGGGAGUGGAGGAGGGAGCGGAGGUGGUCGAAGGAGCGGGAGGCGGAGAGGGAGGAGACGGCGAGGGAGAGGGCGUGGCGGUCGAGGUGGGAGGAGGGGGAGAGCGCGGCGGCGCGGCAAAUGGCGACGAUGCGAUCCGCGUCGGCGGCGGCGGCGUCGGGCGCGGCGGAGGAGGAGGAGAAGGUGCGGCGGUGGCGGAGGAGGAGGCGGAGGCGGUCGGCGGCGGGGGAGAACGAAGACCACGACAUGAUUAGGGUUUGAGAGCUCGGGGAUUAGGGUUUCGGGGGGUUUUGGGGAAGGAGAGGGAGAGGUGGGCCGGAACGGUCCACAUUUUCACGGGCGAAACGGGCCUGAGGCCUGGCCGACCCGGCCUGGCUUGUCCCCAACUUCGGGUUGCUUAGCUUACAGUGUUAGGCCCUCGUCACAACCGUCACACUGAACCGUACAGGUAACAUUUCAAGCUCAAUAUCAUAUUUUUAUGAAUCAGUUUUCGUUUUUCGUCUUUGUUUGCAAUGUCAUUAAAUAUUAAGUUUGUGAAUAAAUAAAAAUUUAAGAUAAGCAAAGAGAGAAUUUGAAUUUGUUCAUGCAUGACUUAAUUACUGUAUAAAUUAGAUUUAUAGAUCACUUCCACUAGAUCAAAUAUCUUAUUUUGAGACAAACAUAGUACAUCAUUUGCUUCAUUUAUAAAAAAAAAAUAUAUUAGGUUAUAAUGAGUGAGGUAACUGUGCCUCGAGAUAAAGUGUGAAAUAAUAAUAAAAAAAAAACUACAAUUGUUUUUUUUUUUUUUUGAGAAAAAAAUAGCACGCUACCCGCUUCAUUUAACAGAAAAAAAAAAAAAAACUAUAAUUGUUGAAAUCAACUUGUUCAUAGACUGUGCGAUCAUUGAAAUCAGUUCAUCACUAGUUCACUGCUCGCUGCAUUACCCGGAUCACAUCCCACAACCUCUCUAAACAUGCCAGCCAUCGCAUAUGAAAUGAACCCCUUCUUCUUAGUUGCGCCGUCCUUCGCUCUAAACAGUUCCCAGAACUCGCCGCCAGCUCCAACCACAGGACCCAUAGGUCAAAUAUUAUAGUUGCAUACCCAACUUAAAAUUUGAAUAUACAUAUCAAACUUAAAAUUUGGAUCUAUCAAUCCUUCCGAAAUCAAAGUUUAUUUCUCUUUCUACGGCUGCAAAUUGUAGGAAGGAAAAUUAAUCUUCUUUGAAAUUAAUGAGAAUCGAAAUGAAAUCCUCUCAAAUCAAAUAAAGAUAAUAGAAAUCAGUUAUUCUAAUUCUAGAUUAGAUGAGCAUAAAUCUUACAUAUUUUCCAAUCCAGAGAUCAACAAUUUCACACUGGUAUAAUCACUUGAGCGUACAAGCAGAGCAUCCCCUGAGGCAAACUAAUUCCUAGGAUGGUAGUAAGGGAAGACGGUGUAGAAGGUCUGCAGGAAGGUGAAAACAAGAACGAAAACUGCUGCGAUCAAGGAAAGGAUGGCCCACGGGUUGCCGAAAUAGUCCCUGACCAGCUUCGCCCUCCACUUGGGCCAAUCGGAAUCGCAGUACUUCCUCACGUCCCGGAACAACCCGGCGAGGUAGUGCUUCUCGAAAUCCAUGGCGGCGCAGUCGGAGAGCUGGUUGAAGAACACCGCCAGCUCCUUGUCGCUCGCCAGCUUGUUCUCCAGGAUCCCGCUCUGGUGGAGUAUCGCGACGUCUGCCGGCGUGUCGAUGAUGCAGUCCAUGAACGUCGCGUAGCUCGUCAUGUACGCCUCCUCCGGCUUGCACCCGCCGCACUGCUCGAAUGCCACGAGGUUCGUGAACCGCGAUAACGUCGAGUUCUCCACCGAGAGGAAUGGGAUCUCGAGCACGCCGUCGUGAAAUGCGACGUCCAGGAACGAACCGGGAUGAUGCUGAUCACUCUCGUUCCUUUUCCUCUUCUCGCCCUUCCUCUUAAACGUCACUCCGGCCUCCUCGAGCUCGGUCGCGGACGGAAUCGUAUUCGGCGAUCUUUUCUUAUCCGCCGGCGCCUGCGAUCGGGAAAUCUUUAAUCGGAGAUAAGAGAGGAGGGAGGCGAAGAUCUUAGUCGGCUUUAACCAUUUGAGAAUAGUACCGCAGAUGGUACUGCCCCUCGGGUCAGUUUGUGGUUUCGUGAUGUAGCAGCGGUAGUAGAGAUGCAACAGGUGGUGGAAAUCUUUGGCUUCGCCGUGCACGGAAGCGGCGGCGGCGGAGACGCGACUGGCCAGCAUCUCUUCCUCGGGCCUCUCGACGUUUCUGCUCGCGAGGUAGUUCACGAGAAGCUCCAUCAGGGAGGGUAUCUCCUCGUCGUCCAUGGUGAACGUGACGAGCUCGAACAGCUUCUCGAGCACGAAGAGGGGGAUCUGGUUCUCGAGCAGGAGCAGGUCGCCGCGCACGAGCGGCAAGCUCCAUCCGGCGGUGCAGACGCUGUCGUCGUCCCCCUGGCUCCACUUGAUGAUGAACUCGAGGACAAAGCACCCGUCGAGGAGCAGCAUCUCCACGAACUUCUCGGCGCUGAGCUCGACGGGCUCGAAGUAGCACCGCCGCGCCCGAGGCUCCAGCUCCCGGAUCUCGGCUACAUGGCGCGGAGGACGGGGCGGUCGACGCGGCUGUAGGGGUUGCGGGAGAGGAAGUCCUGCAGGUAGCGCCACUUGUGCUGCUCCAUGGCGCGGAGGACGGGGCGGUCGCCGCGGCCGUAGGGGCCGACGGACACCAUCCGGGGCUCGUAGAGGUGCGUGUUGCGCUGCCGGACGUGGGCCGGGACGCGGAAGAUGGUGAAGCUCUCCGGCGCCAUCGGGUUGCGGUUUAAUCCCCUGAUGUUCGACCUGACGGAGCUCAGCACGGCCUCGUCGAUGUCUAUGGCGACCGCCUCUCCCUGAUCCUGUGCCAUCGCCGGCGGCUAUCCUGUGCAGUCGAAGAUCGUCCUCGGUAUGUAAUCUCCCUCCCUAUAUUAGUACCUGUUCCAGAUCCAGUCGGCACAAAGGGGCAAUAGUAAAGAUUUUCUCUAAGAAGAAAAUUUUCUUUUUUCCCCUAAAAGCUUGUUAGGGGAAAACGCACUGAAUUUAUUUGAACUAUACGUUUUUAAAAUUUUAAUAUAUUAUCUAAUUUUUAAUUUAUUAAGUUAUAAUCGGUUGAUUUUUUUUUAAUAAAUAAUAUAUUAUUUAGUGAAAAGAUAAACUAAACUAUAUGGACGAAACAUCGCAGUGCAAUGGGGUCGAUAAUAUUUGAACUGCAAAAUUUAGUGCUCUAGGAUCGGUUUGUUUUUUUGGGUUGCGGAUGAGCCUUUGAAGAAGCAAAGGAAGAAGCAAAGCUUAUCCGCUUUCCUGUCUGUCCGGACCGGCAGCGCUUGGGCACCCCAUCUCUCCCCCAACUUGCCUCGGUCUUCAGCCCACGCUGUACGACGCUGAAACGCAUACCAGUUAGGGGUGUAAUGUGGGCCGUGCCGGGGCGGCACGGCCCACAUUUUUCGUGCCAAAUCGGGCUAAGGUCAGGCCCGGCCCGGCCUGAAUUUAAUUCGGGCCGGGCCGUGCCGGCCUAAUUUUUCUAUCCUCUGGCCCGCACGGCCCUUUGGCCCGAAGGCACGGCCGUGCCGGCCGGGCCGUGCUUCGGGCCGGCCUAUAAAAUAUUUAUUUUAAAAAAAUAAAUAAAUUUGUAUUAUUUAUUUUAAAAAAAAAAAAGAAAAAGUUUAUAGACUUUUGGUCCAAUGGACCAAAAGUCUUUUGUCCAUUGGACCAAAUGUCCUCCUCCCCAGGUCUGCUGAGGCAGACCUUGGAGGAGAGCUCCUCGGGAGAGGGCCGAGCCCUCCUCCACAGGAGCUCAGAACUCAUGGCCCAAGGCAAUUGCCUUGGGCCAUGGGAUGCGGGCCGGGCGGCCCGGUGGCGACGGCCCAAGCGGGCCGUGCCGUGCGGGCGCGCCCGCCACCCUGCGGCCCGGCACGGCGGGCCCGAUUCGGCCGUGCCGUGCCGGGCCGUCGGCGCUCUCAAAAUGGUGGCCCAGCACGGCCCAGGCUUCGGGCCGGCGCGGCCCGGCACGGUGCUACAGUACCCGUGCGUGCUGUGGCCCGGCCGAGGCCGUGCCGGGCCGGCGGCCCACGUGCCGCCGGCCCGUUUUAAUCCCUACAUACCACGCACGGCUCGGAUGCCAAUUACAGAUUAAUUAUUUAUUUUAAUAAUUUAUUAUUAUAAAAAUUAUAUAAAAUAUAUUAAAUAAAUUUAUAAAAAUAUAUAAUAUAUUAUUUUAAAGUAAAAAUAUUCUUUUCUGACUCAAAUAAAUAAAAUUAAAGAUUGCGUAAUAAAAUCAAACUCUUGAAAGAUUUAUUCACUAAAUUAAAAUAGUUUAAAGACUAGAUAAAUUUUUACAUUAAUUUUUUAAGUAAAAUACACAAAAUUUAUCUAAACUAUAGAUUAUUUUGAGUUGGUUUACUCAACCUUUUAAAAUUUUAAUUUUAUUAUUUAAUAUUUCAAUUUGUUCGAUUUUGAGUCAGCUAACAGUAUUUUGAUUUCAAAAUUUAAAUAUAUUAAUUAUUUUUAUAGGUUUAAUUAGUAUACUUUAUAUAAUUCUCACAAUUAUAUAAUUUAUUAAAUUAAAUAGUUAGCUUACAUUUUGAAGUCAAAAAAUCGUUGAUUGACUCAAAUUAAAGAAAUUAAAGGAUUAAAUAAUAAAUUUUAAAAAUUAAAAAUUUAGAUAGUCCAUUUAAAAUUAUUUAUAAUUUAGAUAAAUUUUGUAUGCUUUUAUCUUUUUUUUAUAAAUAUUUUUCAACGGAAAUUAAUAAAAGCAAGUAAAUGCCUAGAGUGCCAUUGUCCGUUGAUUGUGAGAAGUGGGCCUUAGAUGGCUCAGUGUAGUUUCUAGAAAGACCUUAGAGAUGUGGGUUGGGUGAAUAGGAGCUCUCAACAGGUCCUUUUGAAUGUGGUCGAUAUUUAGAAUACUUUUUUUCGAAAGAUAGAUAGCAUCCUACUCGCUUUAUUUAUUUUAUUUAGAAAUAAACUUAAUUAGAAAUGUGAAUUAAUUAGAAUUUGAAUUUGGGACCUCGGGUUUUAACCACAAAGUUCUUUACCACUUGCUCUAGAAACGGUCGGUCAGAAUACUUAAACGAGUUGGAUUCUUUUUGGGGAUUUCAAAUUCUCCACCUGUUCGAGUCUUAAAAGGUUCAGUUCUAAUGGUAGACUAGACAUCUUUUUCUUUACUAUUGGUGGUUUCAUCACCACUGAUUCCAGAAACUUUGCGUUAACAGAUUUGAGUUGAAUUUUUCCAUUUGGAAUGAAUGGGAUUAUAUCGGAUUCACUUAUUUUCUUUUUUCCAGAGGAAAAGGAUUUAGCCCCUAUUGGAUUCAUUUCACCGAUAGAGAAGUUAAACAUAAACCACUAGAAUUCCGAUCUCAAGUUAUCAGAUUCAUAAAAAAAAUCCACCCAAAUCUGGUGAAAUCAAUUCUAAUCAUGAAGAUUCCAUAGAAAGAAAUCAAUGAUAAUUGAAUCGGAAUUCAUAAAUUGAAGGUACUCUAUGCAGAAAGUGUAAAUUAACACAGAGCAACAUAUAUUCCAGCUACUGAAAUAUCAAAUUUAAAAACGAAAAAUGAAGGACCAAAAAAGGGGCAACUACGUACGUAUCAAACACUAUAGUUUAUCUAGUUUGUGCACUCAAGGUGAAGUAUGGACCCAUCUAUAGAAAAUUGUGUGAAAAAGAAUAGCUUUUUACUUAAUUAACAGAAGGCAAAUUCAAAAAAGAACCUGAUGCUCAGAUAAUCAAAUUCAAUGUAGAAUAUCUAAUGGCUUAAUUAUGAAAUUAUUACAGGAGCAUUAAUUAUGAGCUUACAUCACAAGCUAGCUAAUAGCGUAUGUUAACACAAUACAUAUUUAAACUAAUGAGAAAUGACAUGUGAAAAAUACACAAUAGUAAUAUUCGCCUCCAUCAAGGAACGAGAUUAUUGCGAAAUGUUAGAUCUCAUGUGUAGAGAAUAGAUAGACUACAACAUUGCUCUUUUCCAAACAAUCAUUCAUUGGAAACUAUGAAUUUUUAUACUUUUGUAUUGGCAAACAGGAUUCCCAAUAAAUCAACAUAUGGGAUUGCUCUCCUUCGGUAGGGCCUUGCGUCAGGAUUUUGCUGUGUAAAAAAAGAAAGGUUUGAAUAAAUUAGAUCUUAGUAUUAAAUAUUUGAAAAGGUGAUGUGAUAGUGUACCUUGAUAUAUUCAUUCCAUUCAGCAUCUUUAGCAAUUACUAUUUGACGCUGAUGAUCCCAGCUAAACUUUGGAUGAUGCCUAAUAUUGUUCACUAUUCGAUAUUCACGUCUAUAAAAAUUGAAGCGCUCAAACAAAUGUUUAUAUUCAUACUGCAAGUCAGUUGAUUCAUUGAACUUGGCUACUAUGUUGCACCAAGAAUCCUCUCCACCGUGUAGUAUUUUUUCCCGCCCUGCAUUUGAAAUUUGCUCCACAAACAAACUAAGCAAUACUUUAUCAUGCUCUUUUUCCCAUAUUGCUAAAGGUUUAUCUGUUAUUGUAAUUUUUUUCCUUGCUGAAAUUACAUUUGGCCUCUCUUUCCUAUAAGUAAACAAAAGAGAAACCGAAACUUACAAUUUAAGAAUUUUAUUUCCCAAGAAAUAAAGAACAUUCUGAUCUUAAAAAAAAAUAAAUUACAACCAUUAGGAAAUAUUCAGAAAGUUAGUUCUACAGUUGCAUGAGAAAUAACAAUAACCAUAUGAUGGCAUUCAUCAUAAAUGAAUUCUUCUUGCUACUGAAGUAAAGGAAAAGUAUGACGCUAAUAUGUCAUGAUUCUACUAGGAAACUUGCAAACGUAACUUGUUCACUCUGUGCGGAACAUGAAAUAGCCUCAUUUGAUCAGUUGAUUAACAUAGAACAUGCGAUUACGAAUAUGAAGUCAAUCUUACAAAUAAUUGAGCUUUGAAAUGAAGACUAUAUAAAUCUAUUUUCAAUUGAGCUUGAGAUGGGGCCUUUUACGCGUAUAUAGAAACUAAAUGUUAAAAAGCUAAAGGUCGUGGAGACUAACGAACAAUUGAACUCUCAUAUGGCGGCACUCCAGAUCAAAACGGAUGAAAGUUCAUCAACUAACUUCGGCUAAAACAUUGUUGAUUUUUCUUCUUUCGCACAGGGAAAGGAAAAAAAAGGUCUCUAACAUCAAAAUUCAUUCAGGGGUCACUUGUAAACAAUAACUUGUUAAAGCAAGCAGCAAACUCAGAAGAUAACUACAUGACAUGUUUUCAAAUUCAAAACCCAAGAAAUUACUAGUUCAACGAAAGUAAUUAGUCCCUUGCUGCAAUCCAUUAAGGUUUUUGGACUUAGAGCCAUUCUCAUGCAGGUGCUACUCAUGGUCUCAAUCACUAAUAACAUCCAUGCUGUACACUAAGGCAUGGGAGCACAUAAAUAAUUUGAAUUUUUUUAUUUGUAGGGUCUUGGUAAUUAGUUAAUCUUUUUGGGCAACGACUUCGGAAGUCAAGUUUUCUCCUAUCAAGGAGUUAUCUGAUGAAGCCUCAUUGAUGAAAAAAAAAAAAAAUCAUGGCCUAGCUAGUUAAGAUUCCAAACAGAAAAAUCAGUGAUAAAUGAUUUGAAAUUCAAGAACUGUAGAUACUCAAUGCAGAGAGUGGAAAUUCACACAAAACAACCUAUAUUCCAGCUAUUAAAACAUCAAAUUAGAAAUAAAAAAUUAGACUGAGGAGAGGGAAGCUACGUACAUAUUUACUCUACCUCUUGGAACGAAAUUGAGGGCUGCGCGCUUAAGGUGGAGGAUGGACCCAUCCUCGAUACUGUAGUCCGCCAGAGAUUUGCCCCUCUCCAGUAGUUGGCCGUUGAAAUAAAGCGCAGUUGCUGCCUGCCAAGUUGGAAGAACGGAGACUAGAACGGUGACUAGAACAUCUUGGAUGGUGUUAGAGCUGUCCACCUCAAGCGCAUAAUUUCCAUAAUGUUCUGACUGCACAAAGAUUUUCAUUUCACCAUCUCCGUCGGGUCUCAUAGAAGAGCUAGACUCUGCACAGUUCAUCUUGGCUAUUUCUGUAGGACUAGUGAAGUUGCAUAUGUAAUACAUGUUAGUUUCUUUGUAAUAGAAUUUCACAAAGAUCCUAAGAUAUUUCUUGUACCAGUGCAUGCAUAUAUAACAAACAUUAAUAUUACUUCGGCAAAAAAGAAAAAUUAAGUUACAAAUUUGAUGGCUUUUGUCACAUGUAAAAGAGAUACAGGAUAAUUUGUUUAAAUUUUCUUCUUUCUUUUUUUUUUUCCUCUAGCCAUCUUAUCGAGCUGAUAUUCAGUUUCUGAUGGAAAUAAUCAAAAAAAUUCCUUCCCUUUUUUUUCUCUUUUCAAAAAUAAACUAAGUUUUUCUUCGUAUACUAAGUUAAAGCUUUUACUAAAAUACAUAUAUAGAUAUAGGGCCCGUUUGCCCUAAAUUCUGAAAAAGUAAUUUCUGCAGAAUUAAAUUUGAUUUUGAAAAUUAAUUUUGCUUAAAAAUUGUAAAGGGUCUGGCUAAGUUUAGAUAGAAAUCAUUUUUUCUAAAAAAAUUUUAUAAAUCUAUUUGGUAAAUUUUUCUUUUUUUCUGUUUGCGAAUAAUCGGAUAGAAGAGUUUAUGCAUCUAACACAAUAGGGCGGACGAGGACUACAUCUAGGAUAGAAGAGUAGCUCUCAGUUUUAUGUCUUAAUUAAUUUGUUGGCUUCAUGACCAUUCAAUUCAUCACGAUGUUAAAGAAAGUUACAAUUCAAGAAACUCAUGCGAAGUAGACAUGUAGUUGAAUCUCUUUGCUUGCAACGAGAAUGUAAUUUCCAUCUUUAGGUAAGAUCUUUAAAUCUGGGCCUAAAAUUAAUCAUAACCAAACCAAUUUAAAACCAUUUGGAAUCAAAAUCUAAGUUACUUAAUUUCAAAACAGAAAGGGAAGCAUACUCAUAACUAUGUGCCAACACCCGCGGAGUGCACUUCAGCUGAAGCACGGAGCCGAGAUUGAUUCCGUACUCGGCCAGGGUUUUCUGCUUCUCCAAUUCCAAGUCAUUGAAACAAAGCCUCGGCUCUGGCGCUUGCGCUGCCCUGUUGAGGCCGAGAAUCUCGACCAGCACAUCCUCGACGGUGUUAUCGCCGUCCGCUAGAAGAACAUAGUUAUGGACGGCGCCCAACUGCACAACGAUCUCCAUCUCGCUUGCGAAUUCAGGUUCCCCGACGGAGUCCCAUGGUUGCAUGUUGGAAUUCGACAGUUCCGCGACGGAGGCCGGCAACUCUACAGAAUCCGCCAUCUCCAGCGUUCCUAUAUAUAUAUAUAUACGACUAAACCAAUUAAGCAACAACAAUUGCAAUAUCAUGUUCGCAUGCAAACAUUGUAAAUCACUGUGAUAAUAAUAGUAGUUAGUACCUUCUACGAGGAAGAAGAAGAAUAGUCGUGUGAUGUUCCAAUAGUUUAACACACAAAAGAAAUUGCAUACGGAACUCACAUUAUGUGUAAUUGGGGUCCGACACGUUUACUUGGCUCGCUGUUACAAUUCUCUCGCUGAAGCUUCCUUCUCUCUGGCAUGCGACUAUUCUAUUUUCUGCACGUGGAAGGUUAGGAUAAAUUUAGAUCGAGUCCACGGAGUAGCGUAGGUUUGGACAAAAUUAGAUAAGAGUCUGACUUAGAAUUUGGUGAAAUGCAAAUAUGAAUGUCAAAAUUUAGCAUUUUUCAAUAUAUAUUUGUACUCGAAUUCAUAUUCAAAAAAAUAUAUAAAUAUGGAUACACCCUAUGAAAUAAUUAUUUAUUUUAGUAAAAUUAUAGCUGCGAGAAUUAUAUAAUAUAUAUUAAGUAAAUCUGUAAAGAGAGAUAAUAUAUUUAAAUCUUGAAGUUAAAGUAUCGUUGAUUGACUCAAAUCAAACAAAGUUAAAAAUACGUUGGAUAAUAAAAUCAAAUUUUUGAAAGAUUGAUUAACCAAAUGAAAAUGGUUCAUAGUUCAGACAAAUUUUUAUAUUAAUUUUGUAAGUAAAAAUAUACGAAACUUAUCUAAAUUGUAGAUUAUUUUGAGUUGGUUUACCCAAUCUUUCAAAAUUUUAAUUUUACUAUCUAAUAUUUCAAUUUGUUAGAUUUGAGUCACUAAUAGUAUUUUAAUUUCAAAAUUUGAAUGUAUUAUUUAUCUUUAUAAGUUUAGUUGGUAUAUCUCAUACAAUUUUUACAAUUAUAAAUUUAUUAAAGUAAAUAAUUAGCUUAAAUUUUGAAGUCAAAAGGCCGUUGAUUGGCUCACAUUAAGCAAAUUAAGAGAUUUGAUAGUAAAAUUUAAACUUUAAAAAGGUUAGAUAGUCGAUUUAAAAUAAUAUAUAAUUUAGACAAAUUUCGUUUGUUUUUAUCUUUUUUUUGUCUAUACUUCAUCCAAGGAUAACAAUGGAACGGUGCAGUGUUGUCAACGGAAAUAAAAAUGGAGUGCUAUUGAUUGUGAGAAGUGGGCCUUAGAUGGCUCAGUGAAGUUUCUCGUUAAGACCUUGGAGAUGUGGGUUGAGUGUAGACCUGGCAACGGGCGGAUUGGGUAACCCGUGGACGAGUUAUUAUAUCCGCUGGUUACUUGUAAAAUUUACUCGCAAAUUUUUGAAUAGCCAACAUCUUUAUCCAUACUCACCCACGGGUGGGCGGGUGGGUAUACGGGUUAUCCACAAUUUUUUUUUUUUGCUUUUAUUUUUUUAAAAUGCAAAAUAUAUAUAUUAGUUUAAAAAGCGUAAUAUAAUCUCAUUAUUUGAAAUAUCAUAACAUACAAUAAAAAUAUUUAAAGUCUUAAAGCAAAAAUAUUUUAUAAUAUAAAAGAUACGCAAUAAGAAUUUGGAUUAGAAUUUUUAGGAUAGGUAAAUAAAAAAUAUAUAUUAAUUAAGAAAAUAUAUUUUGUAAUUAAAAAAUAUAUGUGCGGGUACCCAUGGGUACCCGCGGGUUACGCAAAAUGCCCACUGCUUAAUGGAUACCCACCUGUUUUACCCGUAAUUUUUUGGGUUGGAAAAGUUGGUAUCCAUACCCAUAAAUUUAUGGGUAACCUGCAGGUACCUGUGGGUUUUGGUCAAAAUUGCCAGGUCUAGUUGAGUGAAUAGGAGCUCUCAACAAGUCCUUUUGAAGGUGUCCAAUUUACGAAGAACUUAAAAGAGUCGGAUUCUCUUUGAUAGUGUUUGGUUCGGGAACAAGGGGGGGAAUAAGCCCUUGUUCCCCCCUUUGUUCCCAAACGCAAUGUUUGGUUCCCGGAAGCUUAAAUUUUCUUCUUUUUUUUUUUUUUUUUUCCUCUAGCCAUCUUAUUGAGCUGAUAUUCGGUUUCUGAUAGAAAUAAUCAAAAAAAUUCCUCCCCCGCACCCCCUCCUUUUUCUUUUUUUCCACUUUUCAAGAAAUAAGACAAAGUUUCUCUUCAUACUAAGUUAAAAGCCUUUUACUAAGAUACAUAUAUCGAUAUAGGGCCGUUUGUCCUAAAUUCUGAAAAAUUAAUUUUACAAAAUUAAUUUUGAUUUUGAGAAUUAAUUUUGCUUAAAGUUGUAGAGGGUCUGGCUAAGUUUAGAUAAAAAGUAAUUUUUUUAAAAUGAUUUUGUAAAUCUAUUUGAUAAUUUUUUUUUUCUAUUUGCAAAUAAUAGGAUAGAAAAGUUUAUGCAUCUAACACAAUAGGACGGACGAGGACUACAUCUAGGAUAGAAGAACGCAACUAAAGUUUACCCAAAUUUAACCAAACCAAUACUAAUUAAAAUCCGGGUCUAAAUUUCUAGAAUGGAUUUCUCCCUUUAAUGUAAGAGCAACGUUCGUUUCUCUAAGUUGAUGUACAGAUGAAGCGUACUCAAAGAACUUAACAUUGAAAGAAAUUGUAUAACUUACCAGUACUUCGGUUGUUUAAUUAACUCUGUAUUUAUUUUGACUCUCGAUGAGAAGAUAGGAUCUACAUCAGGAGCAGGCAGGAUAACACAAUCUACGUAUUUGAAAAGAUAGGAUAAUNUGUUCCUUGGCGACAAUAACGAAGGCGGGGCCGUCUCCUCUUCCUCCGCCUCUGUCACAUCCCGGGCCCAAGUGGAAGCUUAUCCGGCACGUGUACAGACCCGUUGUGCGCACAAGGCACCCCUGGUGCACACAAUGCGUCUAUCACAAAACAUAUAACAGAGAAGGAAUGAGAGAGAUAAUAAGGAAAUAAACCUAUCAUGGUAAUCAGAGCAUAAGUACUAACAAAACACUAAAGCAACAAUCCAAUAGAGGAAAUAACGAGUUACUACAACAAAAGGGUACAACUAUUAUAAGAUAUACAUAAGUUGAUAAAAGAAGAAAUACAUCUCAGAACAUAUGGUAGUUUCUAUACAAAAUGGUCGGGUACACCCUUCGGGACAAAACAAAGAAAGGUGACCACCUAAGCAAAAAACUUCCAAAAAGGCUCUAGCUAGUCGCAACUCCCUUACCGCGGUCCUUACACAUGUGCUACAGGAAGCUGAAAACAAGAUUCACCUUACACGAGAGCGACUGAUCUCGGCUCAGAGUAGACAAAAAAGCUAUGCUGAUAAGUGUCGGCGAGAAUUGGAAUUCCUAAUAAGAGAUCAUGCCUUUUUGAAGGUCUCACCGACGAAAGGGAUUAAGAGAUUUGGUAUUCGAGGAAAGUUAAGUUCUCGAUUUGUUGGACCUUUUCAGAUCUUGGAGCAUGUAGACCCAGUAGCAUAUCGGCUUGCUUUGCUGCCGAACCUAUCGGGAAUACAUAAUGUGUUUCAUGUUUCCACGCUUUAGAAGUACUUUUUGACCUAGCUCACAUUUUGAACUCCACUCUAUUAGAGUUGACGAGGACUUGAGCUUUGAGGAGCAUCCUGUGAUGAUUUUGGCUCAUGAGGUGAAGAAACUUCAUAAUCAUGAAAUUCCCUAUGUGAAGGUAAUUUGGAGCAACCAUAACAAGCGCGAGGCUACUUAGGAGUUGGAGAGUGUGCUGUAGGAGCGUUAUCCCCAUCUUUUCCAGAUAGAUUCUUAGGUACUCAACUUUUAGUUUCGCGGAGGAAGCUCCUUUUUAGGAGAGUAGAGUGUAGCACACCGAACUUUAGUAAAUUGCAAUGUUCCAGUGUAGGAAUAGUGCUUUGAGCUAUUCUGAAAGUUUUGAAGGUUGUUUGGAAUGUUUUGGGCUGUUUUCGGAGCUAGUUAGGCACGAGAACAGGUUCCCGACAUCAAAACUUGCAUAUUGCAGAUUUUGGUGUUGAGUACCGGUACUGGAUUGAGGUACCGGAACUCAGUAGAGUGCCGAAAUGGACAGCUCUCGGAUUUUGCAGAAUCUAGCUGUGUGUACCGGUACUCAAUGCUGCAAAACCUAAUUUCGUGCAGUAUACUAUUUUUGGGUUUUUGAGGGGCCUGAUGAAAAUUGUUACAUUAUGUAGUAUAACCCCUCAUCCCCCUCACUUGUUCACUUUUGGGCUGAGGUUAGAGAAAGGAGAAGGUGAGUGCUCUCUCUCUUGGAUUUCUUCCUCCUAAUCCCUAAAAUCCUUGGAUUUGAUCUCUUCUUCUCAAUCUUCUAUAUUGAAGUUUGCUGCUUGGACCUUGAAGGGAGCUUGGGAGUGAAGAAAGGAGCCUGUUUGAGCAUUCAACUCCAACCUAGCAUUUUUAGCUUGGUUGGAGUUUUUGUUGAGAUUAGUAGUCUUUUUAAAUCCUCUAAUUGUGAGUUUUGUAAGAAUUUUGGAAUAAAACCUAGUUUUAAGGAAACUAUGAUUUAUUUUGGGAUUUCUUGAUUUGAAUUUUUUAGGUUAAAUUGCUGGGUGUUGAACCCUUUCUUAAGUUGGAUUUGAAGCCUUCUGACUUUGGUUUGGAUCUUGGACAAGUUCUACUUGAUCAAAGGUAUUUUUCACCUAUUUUUCUAUUGAAUUUUUGGUGAAUUUCGUUGUAAACUUUUUAGAACCUUGUAAUCCUUUGAAAAUUUUUCUUAGGAUGUUAGGAGUCUAAGAGAUAACUUCGUUUGGUGAAACGAAUAAGUAUCGAAUAAUAUCCGGUGAGUUUGACCUUACCGAAAUGGAUAAACUCUUCCUAUAUCUCCUAUAUUGCUAUAGGAUUUAAAUUGAUGCAUAUUCAUGCUAUUCAUGACUAGGGGUGUAAACGAGCCGAACACAAGCGAGCUGGGGUCGGCUCGUGUUCGGCUCGUUUAUUAAAUGAGCCGAACACGAGCUGACUCGUUAAAGUAUCGAGCCGAAAAAUCCAGCUCGUGUUAACUGGCCCACGAGCUGGCCAACAAACUUUGAUAAAUUAAAAAGAAUGAAAUCGAAAAGAUAUAAAAAAUAAAUUUAUAAAAACUUCAAGUCAUAUAGAUCAUGAUCUAACAGUGAAAAUCGUACAUAUGAAAGCUCAAUUUUUCGAAAACAAAUGGCUCGCAUACAGAUGCCUAGUUUGCUAAAAAUAAAAUAAUAAAAAAACACAUUAUAUAUAAUUAUUUAUUUAUAUAUAAAAAUAUAAAUUAAAUAAAUUAUAUAAAUAUAAAAUAUAUGUAUUCGAGUUAUUAUCGAGCCGAAUAGGAGCGAGCUGACCCCGGCUCGUGUUCGGCUCGUUUACUAAACGAGCGAUUCGAUCUCGAGCUCAUUUCGAGCCGAACACGAGCUGGCUUGCGAACACGCGAGCUGGAUUGCCACCCCUACUUAAUUCCAAACAAAAAGGGAACAAAAAGGGAAUAAAUCAUACUCAUAGGUGUGUGCCAACACCCGCGGCGUGCACUUCAGAUGAAGCAUGCAGCCGAGUUCGAUUCCGUAUUCGGCCAGGGUUUUCUGCUUCUGCAACUCCAGGUCAUUGAAAAAAAGCCGCGGCUCCGGCGCUCGGCCCGCCCUGUCGCUGCCGAGAAUCUUGACCAGCACGUCCUCAACAGUGUUACGGCAGCACACUAGGAGAUGGUAGUUGUGGGUAGCGUCGGACUGCACAGUGAUCUUCAUCUCACUGGCGAACUGAUCAGGUUCCCCGGCGGAGUCCCACUUGGAGUUCCACAGUUCCGCGACGGAGGCCGGCAGCUCUGCAGUAUAUAAAUGACUAAACCAAUUAAGCAACAACAAUUGCAAUAUCAUGAUGUUCACAUGCAAACAUUGUAAAUCGCUGUAAUAAUAAUAAUAGUAGUUAGUACCUUCUUAUAUAUGGAUCAAUUAAUUAAUUACAGCGAGUCAAAGUAUCACAGGCCACAGCAACUCCGAGAGAGAAAGAGAGAUACACAAAAAUAAUAGAAAGAAGAGGGAGGAUUUAUAGAAAUAAGAGGACUUAGUGAGAAAGAAGAAGAAUAGUUGUGACGUUCCAAGAAAUUGUUCGUACGGAUCUCACAAUGUGUGUAAUUGGGCCCGACGAAAACGCGUUUACUUGAUUCACUGUUAUUUCUCUCUCUGGAAGCUUCCCACCUCUUUCUGGAGUACUACUUUUUUCUUUUCUUUUCUUUUCUUUUCUUUUCUUUUCUUUUCUUUUCUUUUCUUUUCUUUUCUUUUCUUUUCUUUUUUUUUUUAAAAAAAAAAUAGCAAACCAACAAAAACAACAAAAACGUACAGAGAAAAAAAGACAGCAACUCCGAGAGAGCUGACAUUCACUGUUAUUUCUCUCUCUAAAAGCAGCAUGAGCUUGAGAACAGAGCCAGAAAAACACGAAACAAAACAAAACAACAAAAACAGAGAGAAAAAGAAGAGUAGAGGAACAGAGAGAAAGGAGAGAAGGAGCAGGAGGAUAAAUUUUCUUUUUUUCUUUUUUUUUUUCAGCAAGUGGUAGUCGUAGGUUGGAAUAAAUUUAGAUCGAGUCCACACGGAGGCGUAGGUUAGGAUAAAAUUAGAUGAGUCUGAAGUAGAAUUUGAUGGAAUGCAAAUAUGGAUGCCAAUAUGGGGACUCAUCUGUAAAAAAUUAGGAAGCUCCUAUUUAAUUUACCUUUUUCUAUAAUCUCUUGUUAAAUAUAAAAAUAUUUAAACACCGUUCUCUAACAGUUUAAGCUUUUAGAGUACAACGAUUGUUUCACAUGGUAUCAGAGCAGGAGAUCCUGAGUUCGAGUCACGCCAGGCUCCUAGCAUAUUAAUUUCCUCCCAUUUAAUUCAAGCCCACGUCAUGGGACCCAGACGUGAGGGGGAGUGUUAAAUAUAAAAAUAUUUAAACACUAUUCUCUAACAGCUUAACCUUUUAGAGUACAACGGUUGUUUCACAUCUCUCUCCAAGAUACCCGAUCGCAUAAGAUGUUUACGCACCAUAUAAAUUCUAUAAAUCUACUAUUCUAUACAUAACCUUAUCGUGCGGACGCAUUCGUAUACGGAUGAAUUAUGAUUAGAUGAAUUAUGGUUAGAAAAUUAUUUAUGUACUUAUAUCAAGAUCAGUACUGUUGAUCUUAAUUUGAAGUAUUCUAUUUUCUUUUUUUAUAAGGUUUUUAAAUUUGAACCAUUCAUUUUGUGGCAGCAUGACGCACUUGACAAUGAUAUUAUAAAAAAAAAUUAUGAACUUUCAAUUCCUAACAACUUAGAAAAUCUUAGAUUACGCUUAAUGGUGUGAAUUACUGAUUCAAAAGUUCUAUUAUCGAAAAUAAGACUAUAACACAAAAUACUUUGUGCCGUUAAUAUAACGCUAGCUUAGCUUUAUGCUUUAAUUUUCAAAACUUUUGAGAGAAUUCACAUCUUCAAAGUCCACUAAUAAAAGAAGAAUUUUAAAAAUUCAUCAAGUAAAUUCAAGAUAUUAAUCAUUUUCCAGGACCAAAGGGCCAAUCAUCUCUUCGAAUAAAAAACAACUAAAGAAGAAACAAAUCCUUCACAUAACUAUGCUCCAUCAAAAUAAUUAACAAACACUAAUUUAACUUGAAAACUUAAUAUAAAUUUUUUGCUUAUAUUAUUCUUUGAAGAGUGCCUCUUUAAUCAUGGUUACAAUAUGUGAACUAUGGUAUGUACAAUAUAUUUGUGAUAUGAUUUGAUAUAGCAACCUACUAAGUUUUUUUUUUGAGAAAGAGGUAGCGAGCUAUCUGCUUCAUUCAUCAAGCAAAAUGAACUAAGCGUACAUGAUGAAAGCAGCUAAGGCCUCCUAUGAAGCGGAAAAAAAUAGAAAAUGAACAAGGAAGGAAAAAUAGAGCUAUAGGAGAAAGCUAUAGAGCUAGGACAGGUGAUGCGGAAACACAAAAGAGAGAUAUCCGGAAGAAAAAGAAAGGGAUCACAGGUCGUUCCCGGCAUUCAUCAAGGCAAGAACGUCCAGUCGUUCGUCAUCAAGCAACCUACUAAGUUACAAUCCAUUUGGAUGUAUAUGGUGGCUAAUAACAUAAUCAUAAUAGGACCAUCAGAUAACAUCAUAUAGUAGGUACUAAGAUGAUGCACAAUUAAAUUAAUGAGAAAUGACAUUCAAUAAAGUUGAAAUCAUUCUCAUGUUUACUUUGUGUGCAUAAUAGUCAAGUAACACAUUUUCAAAUAAUUGUUUGCUUUAUUACAGUUACAAUGCACAUUCAGAGUUUGUAGAUGACAAUGAACAAAAUGUAUGAAAAUAUAGUGUUGUUGUUCUUCUCCAAAAAGCUCUGCUUCGGGUUUUGCCUGCGCGAAUGCCCAAAUAGUUUGAAUCAAUUCAAGUAUAAAAAAGGAUCGAUAGUGUUGGAUAAAGAAUAAUAAUAAUAAUAAAUACGGUUAGUAUACCUUAAUAUAUCAAUUCCAUUCAUUAUCUGUAGCAAUUACUACGUGACGUUGGUAAUCCCACCUACGUGUUGGUUGUUGCUCGAUGUUGUUCACCGUUUCAUAUUCGGUUGUGUAAAAGCUCAACCGGUCUUUCAAAUCUUCAACUUCAUAAUUCGACGCUGUUGCCUUGCUGAAUCUAGCCACUAUGUUAUGCAAAGCAUCCAUUUUAAAGCCUUACCCGUCUCUCCCGCCAUUAUGCACAUGUUUUACCAUCAAAUCAAGCAGUGCUUUGGGGUAGCGUUCUUCAGCCAAAUUGCUAAAAGGUUGGUUUCCUCUUUUGAUGGUUAAUUCAUUGUAGUAUUAUUUUUGUCAGCUCUCUAUUCUGCAAGUGAAAUAAAACAAGAAUAUCCUAGAAAUACUUUUAGGGUGCGUUUGGUUCGCAUUAUGAAAGAUUACUAGGAAGGAAAAGAUGUCCGAGAAUCUUAUUCCUAUUCAUCAUAUUACUAAGAAUGUGGAAUUCCUGUGUUUGGUUCGCAUGGUCAUAUUAUUUAGCCAUGUUAUUUAAGAUUACAAAAAAUAUACAAUUAAUUAAUUUAUUUUUUAAAUUAAUUUUAGAUAAUCUACCAAAAAUUUCAACAUUUUUUUAGAAAAAAGGAAGAGAGAGCAUAGGUUAGAAAGAGAGAGCAUAAUUAAAAAAAUAGUAAGAGAAAUAGAGUCGAAAUUAGAGGGAGUGAGAGAGUUGAGAUUUUAGAAAAAGAGGGAGAGAGAAAGCUUAGUAAGAGAGAAAAAGAGUUAAAUUUUAGAGAGAAAGAUAAGUUUAGAGAGAGAUGUGAGAUUAUAGUAUGAAGAAAAAUAAUACCAAUUAGCCGACGGAUAGGGAGAAAGAAAGAGAUUAGACAUAUUAUGAUUACCCCAAUCCAUAUUAUAGGAUACCCACCCUUUCUCAAGAGAAUGAGAUUAGUACUUUGGGAUGAAUCUUAUUCCCAAGUAAAUCCAAUAUUACUAACUAGAUUACUUAGUGCGUUUAACCAAACACCGUCAUAUUUUUUUAUUCCUAUUGGAUUACUAGGAAUCUUUAAAAGAUAGCGCGAAUCAAACGCACCCUUAAACUAAAAUAACAGAGAAUAAUGAUGAUUGAAAAUAGUAGAAAAUCGUAAUCAUAGAACAUCAUUGUGGACGGCGUUUCGACUGCAUGCACAGUGAUCUCCAUCUCACUGGCAAAGUCAAGUUCCACAACGGAGUCCGGCGGCUCUACACAAUCCAUCUCCACCAACUCUAUAUGGACACAUUGUGUUGUUCAAAUAAUCACAUUCAAUAUAGAAAAUCUAGUGACUUACGAAAUCAUUGAGGGAGCAUUAAUAUAAGCUUACACUAAUGAUAGAUGCUAACAUAAAUACAUAUUUAAAUAGAUCAGAAGUGGCAUGCGCAAAAUAUAGUGUAACAAUGUUUGCCUCGGUCAAGAGGCGAGAUUAUUGUGAGAAUGUUGAGAUCUCAUAGCUAGAGAACGAAGAGAUUACAACACUAUUUUUAUUUCAAGAGAGUCACUCAUAGGAAAUCACGAUAUUUUAUUUUUUUUUCUCGACAAACACACUUUCAUAUAAAUUAAUAUACGGUACUUUUCUGCUUCGAUAGUCCUUCGCACUAGGAUUUUCCUGUGAAAAAGGAGAAAGGUUUGAAUAAAUUGGAAUUAAGUACUAAACACUUCGAAAAGCAAUGUGGUAGUAUACCUGAAUAUACUUAUUCCAUGCAGCAUCUGUGGCAAUUACUACUUGAUGUUGAUGAUCCCACCUAAACUCCGGACGAUUCUUGAUUUUUCCCACUAUUCCAUAUUCACGUUUAUAAAUCUCGAAGCGAGCAUGCAAAUGUUUUUCUUCAUAUUUCAUGCCUGUUGCUUUAUUGAACUCGGUUACUAUAUCACGCCAGGAAUUAUUUUUAUAGUCUAGUAUUUUUCUCCCUCUUGAUUGAAUUUGCUUUACCAAUAAAUCAAGCAGUAUUAGAUCAUGCUUUUCUUCCCAUAUUACUGAAGGGCGAUACGUUAUUUUAAAGUAUCUCCAAAUUGGCUAUCGUACAAUUGUCACUUCCCCCCCACUCGCCGCGACCUCUUCGCCAGCCAAGGCGGCCGCCUUGUCCGUUGAAUAUUCUGCGGCCCCUCCCCUCGCCGCAUCCGCCUCUUUGGCCGGCGAACGGGUGUCCGUUGACGUCUCGGGUGGCGGGUCGUUUAAAUUUUCAAACCUCUCCGCUGUCCCCGCAUCCCUAGACAACGGUGACAUCAGGGCUGCAGACUGCCGCCUUCAGCUUUCACGCCCCCCUUUCGCCAGCUGUUUUGCUAACGCCUUUUUGGCCCCUGUACCCGCGAAGGGAAGCUUCGUAUCUCUAUCCCAGGGAUCCCUUCUGGCAGAAUUAGACAAAAGGAGCUCUGGGGGGAUUUUCUUCUCCCUCGGGAACCGGCGGAGUUUCUUCCUACGAUUCUCUACAUCCUUCUCGUUUUCUGUGCGGCCCCCCUCCAAACUAGUUGUCGGAUCUCUCGGAUCCCUCCUUCUGCAUGCUUCCUUCGGGUCGGAUGUGUGGUUCGGAUCCGCAAACCUUCUCUCCUGCCACCUGGGACCCAAUUGGACCCUUAUCCGGCGCCCUGGGCCAGACCUAAGCUCGGGCGGGCUUUCUGCGUCCACUAAUGCCCCAUGCUGGCUCCCACCCUCCUGGUGCUUGGGCUUGGGCCGCGGCUCGGGCCCGGGCUCGGCCACGGGCGGCCUGGACGCAGGCAUCGUAAUGGACUUGGGCGUGGGCUUCGGUGUCGACUUGGGUGCCGGGUCGGGUGCGGCCCUGCGCUCAGGCUCGGACGUGGGCUUGGAGGAGGGCUUCGACGAGGUCUUGUCUGCGGGCCUGGAACCGGACCGGGGCGAGGGCUUGGGUGCAGGCCCAGACGAGGAUUUGGAGACACGACUGGGCGCGAGCUCGGCCGACGACUUGGGCGCGGGAUCACCCACGGGCCUGGGCGCCUUUAAGGCUCCAAGCGACCUUGCGGGAGGUUUUGGACCGGUCGAGCUCGAGCGCCCUGAGGUGGCGCGCGGGGACAGCGGAGGCAGCGGAGGGGCGGCGUCGGAAGGCGGAGGCAGAGGAAGCGGUGGGGGUGAGGGUGUUCUUGGAGGCGGCGAAGAAGACGGAGAGAGGAGAAUGGGGGCUAUGGGUUUUACGGUUCGGGACGGAGGGGUGCGGGGUCUUGUAGUUGGAGACGUCGCGGAAGAUGUGGCCGCAGCCUGGGCCGUCGGGUCGGGCGUAGAGGGAGCAAGCUUCGCCAUGGGCAUGGGCGCAGACUGCGGCGCCGGGUCGGGCUCGGCCUUGGGAGCGGGCUCGGCCUCCAUCGUGGACUCGGGCGCAGAGUUUGGCGCCGGCUUGGGCGUGGCGUCGGGCUUCGAGGCGGGCCGGGGCGCGGCCUUGGCCGUGGGCUUGGGCGCAGACUUGGGCGCCGGCUUGGGCCAAGCCUUCAAGCCCAAGGGACCUUGCGGGCCGGGGCGCUUGGGGGCGGGCUCGGCCGACGGCCUAGGCGCGGGCUCGCCUGCGGGCCUGGGCACAGGCUUUCCAACCUGCAGCACCCACCUGGCCUUGAUUUCCACUUGCAGCCACCCUCCCAACUUGGACCGUCCCACCUCGGAUCCACCCAGAUCUAGCGGAAGAGUCCGCAGCCAGUUUCCUGGCUCUGUUUUACGCAAGGCCAUGCUCAGAAAGGCGCAACUACUCGAAGGCGACCCAGCUAUUCCCAGUCACUCUACGCGCAAAUGGUCCAAGAAAAAAGUUAAGGCGAAAGGUCUUCGCUGCGGGGUGGACCUUCAUGAAGAGGCCGUUAAGGACUUCCUUGAGUUCCUGAGUGGGAAGGCCUAGGAGCGGCUGGAGGAGCCGCGGGUGUUGUGUUUCGUGUGUCUUUCCUUUCUGAUGUUUAACAUUUUGUGUUGGAAUGUUCGGGGUCUCAACGACCCCUCUAAGCGCCGUUGUGUCAAGUCUGUUGUCUCCAGUCGUGUUCGUUCUGUCAUCUGUCUCCAAGAAUCUAAAGUGGAUAGUGUGUCUCGCUCUUUUCUUCGCUCUUGCUGCGGAUCUGCUUUUGAUAGAAGCCACUUUAUUCCUGCAUCUGGGGCUUCUGGUGGGCUCAUCACUUGUUGGAGCUCCAAAUUCUUCUCUUGUAGCGAGGUUAUCGUGAGAAAGCACUCUCUCACUCUCCAUCUAUCUUGUCUCAAGAGUAAAAAGCAUUUCUUCCUCACGAACGUCUACGGGCCAUCUACCUGGGACGGCAAGGAUGAAUUCUGUCUCGAGCUUCUCUCUUUACGCGGGGUUUGCACUUCCAACUGGGUGAUCUGCGGAGAUUUUAACUUUACCAAAAAUCAAUCUUAACGAAAGGGAAACCUCUGGAGCUCUAAGGCGAUGGCUAUGUUCUCUGAUCUGAUUUCCAACUUAGCGGUCAUAGAUCUCCCUCUGUCCAACCAAAGCUUCACUUGGUCGAACAUGCAACGCAGACCCACACUGGCAAAACUAGACAGGUUCCUCGUUUCAACUGAAUGGGACCAAUCUUUUCCUCACAGCAAGGUCAAAGCCCUCCCUAGGAUCACUUCCGAUCACGCACCGAUCAUCUUAUCCACCGAAGCGCAACUCAUACCCAGACGAUUCCGAUUCGAAAGGGUUUGGCUCACUAAAGAAGAUUUCCACUCGAAGGUGCCAAUCUGGUGGAAUGAAAUUGCUGACAAGAAUUCGGGUAUCCUCACAAUUACUGCCAAACUCAGACACUGCCGAACCAGAAUUAAAGAAUGGUGUAAGACGAGUUUCUAUAGCAUAUCGCUCUCGAAGAAGAUUUUAGAGGACGAACUGCAUGACAUUGAUCUCUUAGAAGAACAACACGACCUCCCCCAAGAUCUAAUAGACAAGCGAGCCAAUCUCAAACGUCAUCUACUCUCUAUCUUGGGGGAGGAAGAAAUCCUUUGGAAAACUAGGGCCAAACAACAAUGGCUAAAGGAAGGCGACUCCAACACUAAAUUUUUUCAUGCAGUGGCUAACGGGCGAAAACGCUCCAACUCGAUUGAUGUGAUUGAAGACAACUACGGGAGAGAAAUCACCAACGAAGCUACCAAACGGUCAUUCUUCCUGCAAGCUUUUAAACAACGGUUUGGACAAGCAGACGACAGAGCGAUAUCUUAUGGGGAUUGGAGUAACCUUUACCUCUCUAAUAGACUGCACAAUGCUGACUCCCUUACGUCCCCCUUCACAAUCGAGGAAAUCAAAACCGCCACCUUCCAACUUGGAAGCGACAAGGCCCCGGGACCAGACGGCUUCCCCCUCUCCUUCUUCCAAACUUUCUGGGAGACUGUCAAAACGGAUAUUUUAAAAGUUUUCACUGACUUGCAAGAUAAUAAUCUCUUCACCGGCCCCUCAGACUACUCACUUCUUUGCCUAAUCCCGAAGAAAGAAGGAGCACGCAAGGCCAACGACUUUCGUCCAAUUAGCCUUAUCAAUAGCAUUCAAAAAAUCAUUUCCAAAGUCCUGGCUAACAGACUAGCCCCCACCCUGUCAUCUAUUAUCUCACCAACUCAAUCGGCUUUUCUCAAAGACCGGUUGCUGAUGGACUCGUUCGUAACAGCAAGUGAACUAAUUAACUGGUGUUCGAAGACUGGAAAGGAAUGUGUAUGCAUUAAAGCGGACUUUGAAAAGGCCUUUGACAACGUACGCUGGGACUUCCUGAAAAGCAUUUUGCACUGGCUUGGUUUCAACGACAAAUGGUGGGCAUGGGUUGAGCAGUGCAUCUGCAACGCCAAAGUAGCCAUUUUAGUCAACGACACCCCGACUGAUUGGUUUAAGAUGAGAAAGGGUCUUAGACAGGGCGACCCCCUCUCGCCCUACCUCUUUAUUUUGGUGGCUGACUGCUUAGCUAGAUUGACUGAUACUGCAAGGAAUAACAACCUUCUCCGUGGUAUUGGACCGUCCACUGAUUGUCAAACUACGCUGAUUCAAUACGCGGACGACACAAUUUUCUUCUCCGAGCCUAGAAAACACUUAAUGCGAAACCUACAGUUUAUUUGGUAUAUCUUCGAGUGGGCUUCAGGUCUGAAAAUCAACAUGGACAAAUCAGACCUGUAUUAUCUGGGCCCUAACCCCCAAAGAGCCAACAGACUUGCUAACAUCCUUGGAUGUAAAGUUGGGAAACUCCCGUUCCGCUACCUCGGUCUACCGCUUUAUAAUAAACACCUACGAACGGAAGAUUGGGCUCCGGUCAUUGAUCGCAUAUCAGCAAGAAUCGAGGGGUGGAAAGCCAAACUCCUAUCCUAUGGGGGUAGACUCACGCUCGUCAACUCGGUUCUCACUAACUUGCCGCUAUUUUAUUUCUCCAUCUACAAAGCGCCGCAAUGGGUUUUACACAGGAUCGAAUCACUUAGAAGAUCUUUCUUCUGGAAAGGCUGCGCUAGCAUCUCUGGAGGAGCCUGUCUUGUCAGUUGGAAGUCCAUCUGUAAAAGUAAGAAAGAAGGUGGGUUAGGGAUCAAAGAUUUGGAGGGAAUGAAUCUGGCGCUGCUAUCUAAAUGGUGGUGGCGCUUCUUCAACGAACCACAAUUACUGUGGCCCAAAUUGAUUUCAUGCCUCUAUUAUGUCAGAAGAAGACCUUUACAUGAGGGAAGAAGUUUUGUACCCCACUCGCAGUGGUGGAAAGGUGUUCUGCAAUGCCGCGACGCCUUCAAAUGCGGUUUAUCUUUUGAGCUUGGCGAUGGUCGGAACAUCAGGUUGUGGUCCGAUAUUUGGAUUGGUGAAACAUCUUUGAGCACCUUGUUUCCAGACAUCUACGCUCAAAUCGCGAACAAGAAAGCUCGGAUAUCUCAAUGCUGGAACCAUAAUGGAUGGAGAUGGCGUUUUAUCACUAGAGGCUUCGCGGCGCCCCGAUUGGCCCACAGUGGUAGACAGCUGCAAUUACUCAAAGACACACUUACAAGCAGACACCCGUGCAGCAGAGAAGANCAACGGCCGAAAACUCAAUAGUACCAAGGACUAGAUAUAUAUAUAUAUAUAUAUAUAUAUAUAUAUAUAUAUAUAUAUAUAUAUAUAUAUAUAUAACUAUCAGCAUAUAUUGAUAAAAUACAUCGAAAAUGAAUUCUUCAUUUAAUGUAUAAUAAAAUAUCAAAGCAUAAAUGCAUGUGACUAAUUAAUAUGUCCUGAUUACAUACCGCCCCAAAUGCAAUUAACAAAAGAUUUAGUGGUUGGUGUCCGAGCCUUCAUGUUUGAAUUCUAGUUGAUUCACAUUUUUCGAAUAGCAUGCUAUCUUUCUCUUAUAUAUAUAGAGUGAGGCUAUUAUGCUAUUGAUAGCACAACCUCACUCAUGCUAGUGAUUUUUCUAUCAUUGGAUUGCUUUGAGAUCCGUGAUAUAACUUAAUGGGAGAUUAACGGAGAGGGAGCCGUUAAGUUUCUCUCACGCUCUCUCUCCCCUCUCUCGAUCUUCCUGUCUCUUACUCCCCCCCCUCUCUCUCUCUCUCUCUCUCUCUCUCUCUCUCUCUCUCUACGCCUUGGUCCAGACCGAGCUUCGCCGCACGCCCCCGUCGCUCCCUGGCGCUGCCCCCCGCAUGCCGCCGUCGCUCCCUGGCGCGCGCACUUAAACGAGGUAUGAUUUUUUUUUUUUGUUAUUACAACUAAAAAAUAGAUCUACAACUUUAUAUUUGUUUAUUUGAUUGGUUUGAUUUGUUUUUUUUUUUCCUGAUUUUGUUUGUUUGUUUGAUUUUUUUUUUUACAUUUAACCUCUCAUAAAAAAAAUUUAAUUUUGACUUUUUUUUUCAGAUUUUUUUUUUGACAUUUCGUUUGAUUUUUCAGAUUUUGUUUAUUUGGUUUUCAGACUUUAAAAGUUCAAAAAUCUGAAAAUCUGAAAGGAAAAAAAAAAAUCUGAAAUGGUUAGCUUUUUAUAGUUAUAGUUAGUUUUUUAUAGUUAUAGUUUUAAAGGUAUUUCUUUUAAUUUGAUCUCUCAAAAAGAAAAUUCUGAAAAACACUAGCAGAGGAGGCUUUCUUUAAAAAAAAAAAACCGAGAGUUUCCAACAGAAUGCCAACAGAAUGCACAUAUAUUCGAAUUUUGAACAUUCAAAGUAAACACUAGUAAGGAAGGCAUUUUUAAAAAAUUCAUUUAAAUGCUUAAACUAUUAUAUAAAAAUGCUUUUAAUAUUAUAUUUAUAUUUAUAUUUAACAUGUGUUUGUGCGGAUGCAUUUUUUUUUAGUAAAAAUGUCCGGAGAAACCAACUGUACCUAGUGCAGUUUGCUGAGGGGAUGAUGAUUGCUACUGAAGAUUCCAAGUAAGAAGUCUAAUUGAUUUAGAUUUCUAAUUAAAUUCAUUUCUAAAGAAAUAAACAAAGCACUCAAGCUUCCUUUUUCUCCACAAAAAAAAAAAAAAAAAAAAAAAAAAAAAAAAACAAACAAGGAGAACCCCUAACUUAUAGGCUAAAUAUUCCACUCCGCCCCUUCUACUUUAGUCAAAAAAUAAUUAAGAGUUUUUAUCAAACUGAUUGAUGAAUUUAUUAAAAUAAUAAUUUACAUCAUUUUUUUAGAGAAUAGAACUAGACAAAUUAACAAAAAAUAGAGUGAAUAAAUUUGAUAAAAAAUAUUUUUCUAAUUAGGAGCUGUUUGGUUCUACGGAAAAGAAUGGAAAAAGUUUUUAGAUUAAAUUUUUUUAUGGAAAAUCUCGUUUAAAGUUUUCCACAUGUUUGGUUCUAAGGAAAAAAAACUUUUUUGAAAGGAUUUUUUUUCCUAAAUUUUAUAAAGAAUUAGUAUUUUUGUUUCCUGAAAUUUUUUAGAAAAAUAGAAACACUUACUUUUCAUAAAAUCUGAAAUUUUUUUUUUUCAAAAAAGCUAUUCUUUUAGAAUCAAACAGGAGAAAAUUAGAAAAGUAGUUUCUUAUAAAGAAUCUUUUUCUUGAAAAAUAAUUUUCUAUACUUUUUGGAGGAAUCAAAUAGCCCCUUAAAUAUAACCCAAGAAAAAAAAAGAUGAAGUUGAGGGGAUGUCAAUUAAAAAAAAAAAAAAAAAAAUUUUAGUUUUUAUAACUAACAUUAUUUAAUUUUAAAAUUUAGAAGUUGAGGGGUCUCAAUCAAGGGAAAAAAAAAAAAAAAAAAGAGUUAAGGAGUCUAUUUUAGAAUCGCCAAAAUUUUCUCUAUUUGGUUGAACAAUUGUUUUUCUCCACCUAUUUGUUUUGAUUAUCUAUCCUAUCAUCAAUUAAUAAACAUCUUUAAUAGCUAUGCAAUGUUUGCUUGAUGCUAUAUGCCUUAAGAGCUAUGCAAUGUUUUGUUUUGUUUUUCUUUUUUUUUUUCCAACACACAGGGGAUUGAAUCACUGACCUCCUCCACCCUUCACUCCUCUCCCCAAAACAAUACACAUCAUCUACACUAGCACAUCUACACUAGCAGCUGGGUGUAGCUAUGUAAUGCUUUAAUUUGGGGAGUUAGUUUGCAGUAGAAGGAAAAUUUUGUCUUACGUUUUUUGCUUUUUAUCUUCUUAUUUUCUUCUUUUUUAUUUUGGGUAAAUUGUAUAGAACUUGCUUGGACUGUGGAUCAUUCUGGAUUGGUUAUACAACCUUCAAAAUUAUCUUCUGUGAAUAAAUUAUCUUUUACAAAGUAAGCUCCUUAAAUUGAGGGGCUUCUAUAUUCCUGAAUAAAUUAUAUUCUUGAAUAAUAUCGUAUAUGUGAAACAAUAAAAGAUUGGUUAACAAAAGUGUAUCCGCACAAAGAGAGAGAGAAGAAACAGAGAGAUGUAUCCAGAGAGAGAGAGAGAGAGAGAGAGAGAGAGAGAGAGAGAGAGAGAGAGAACUUUGGUAGGUGAUGCUAGUAACAGGCUAGCAACACUUUUGGAAUAGAAUGAAUUUGUUGAAUUUGAUAAAAUAACAACACCUUUCUAUUCCUUUUUCUUUCUCAUAUUCAUCAAGUGUUUUUUUUUUUGUUUUUUUUUUGGUUCAUACACAACUGUUCUUCAUUUUCAAUCCACAUUGGUGAGUCAAGGUUCAUUACAAAUUUUUGUUCACUGAAUUAUAGGGUGACAUACAUACCUCAAUCUGCAAUACAACAAUGGAAGCCAUAGAAGGGAUGGCCCGUCUAGAAGUGCCUCUAAUUUCUGUUGCUGAUGAUGUUGGCACAUCUAGUGAAAAGGUCAAUAGCGGAAUUGCUGAGGAGGCUACUAGUUCAGUCACCGAAUCGAGUAUGAAUGUGGAUUGUUGGAUUAAAGAGGUGGAGAAAAAAUGCAAGGGCGCAUCCGAAGGUUUGCUAUGGCAGUCCAAGAUGCCCGACGAUAAAGGAGAGCAGUUAUCUCAACAAAGGGCAGUGGCGAUAGGGCCAUUUAAUAGGGACAAGAGCACACAUAUUACUGAUAAAGAAAAAUAUUUGAUUGUCCACCUGAUGAAUAAUCUAUACGAUCAUCUUGACUUGGAAGGCUGCUUCAAAAUGAUAAAAAAUCAAGUAGUAGAUGCUCGCAAAUGGUACUCCGAUUCAGAUAUGCCUGAAAGCUUUGGCUCUACAAAUGACAACACAUUUGCAGAGAUGCUGCUGCUAGAUAGCUGCUUCAUCUUGUUUAUGUUGACGUCCAUCAGUGAGAUUCAUAGUAAAGUGACUCGUGAGGGAGUGAUUCUACAUAGACAUUAUUGUUCAAAGAGCCUAAAGAUUAUGCCGGGUAAGCUGUUUGGAGCCGAUUCUUCAAAGAAGCAGGAGAUUAAGCUGGCUCUAGACGUCGUGCCUAGAUUUGCCGGCAUAUUACGUCACAAAGACAUGAUCAUGGUGGAUUUGCUGACCCUCCAAAACCAAAUCCCUUUCUUUGUGAUCGAGGAGCUAUUUAAGAAGCUCCAGUUGGAGAAUCCACUCCAUAAAUAUGCCCUCAAGUUCUUCAAGACAGUCCAUCCAAGGUCCACGCAAGGUUGCAAGGGCAAAAAUAGUCCUCCCAAAUUCCUACAUUUGCUCCAUCUUUUCCACUGGUCUCGAGUCCCAAAGAAUAAGUGUGAUGUACUUAGAUCAUGGCGUCCCCAGCUAGAUGAUUUUUACUGGGAUUGCAAAACUCCGAGUGUGAUGGAACUUGGAAAAUCCGCCACAGGGUUCAGAAAGAAAACAUCAGGCAGCUCACUGGAUAUCUCAUUUGGGAGGGGUAGGCUUCUACCCAUUGUCCCGGUGCUCAACAUCCCACGCUUACACAUCCGUGAAUAUAGCAGCCGCAUCUUCCGUAACCUCAUUGCUUUUGAGAUGCAACGUCCAAGAUCGGAUCGCCGCACCAUGGCUUUUUCUGUAAUUAUGCAGAACUUGCUGCAAAGCGAGGAAGAUGUGAAGCUGUUUCGGCAAUGUGGCAUUUUGGCGAACACAUGCAUGACCGACAACAAAAUCGUUAAUUUUUUCAAAAGCUUGAGUCUAUCGAUCGGAAAGGAUGAUAUGCCAAUCGAUGUGUAUGUCUUUUGUCAUCAGGUCCUGUCUUACCACAAUGGUCGAAUCAGUUGAUUCCGUGCCAACGCCAUUCUCAAGUACUUCCCCAACUGGUGACUUUUUCUGUGUUCCCAGCUCCCAUGCUUGUUGUUCUUACCCUCCAGCAAACCCUAUAUUCUAUGCUCAGCUUCUAUAUAUCAUUGUUGAAUGCCCCAAAUUCUACUCAGUAUGAUGGUAAUGCAUGCAUAUAUAUAUUAUCGAACUAAAAAACAUUUUGUACCAAUGUUUAUGGACCACCAUCUUGGGAUGGAAAAGAAGAGUUCUGUGAUGAGCUCCUUGCUUUGGGAGCGGUUUGUUCCAACUAUAAAUGGGCUAUUUGUGGAGAUUUCAAUUUUACCAGAAACCAGGCUGAACGCACCGGGAACCGGGGGAGCAAUAAAGCGAUGUCAAUGUUUUCAGACCUCAUUUCAAAUCUCGAAGCCAUCGAUCUGCCUAUUGCCAACCAAAAUUUUACUUGGUCGAACAUGCAAAGCGCACCGACCCUGGCCAAACUGGAUAGAUUUCUUGUCUCGACGGAGUGGGAUCAAGCUUUUCCGCUUACCAGGAUUUCCGCACUACCUAGAAUUACCUCAGAUCACACCCCUUUAAUACUCGAUACUGGAAACUCGAGCACUCAGAGGAGAUUUCGGUUUGAGAGAGUAUGGCUUACUAGGUCGGACUUCACAAAUUUCGUACCAAUCUGGUGGAACGAAGUAUCUGGUCAGAGGUCUGCCAUCCUUACGCUGACGGCGAAGUUAAGACAUUGCAGAAACAGGAUGAAGGAAUGGUGUAAGACGAAAUUUCAUAGCAUAUCCAUCGCGAUAAGAUCUUUACAGGAAGAAAUUCGGAGCAUUGAUCUUUUGGAGGAAAGGAACAUCUUGACCCAGGAAGUACGGGAUAAACGAGUUGACCUUAAAGCGCAGCUCCAACUCAUCUUAAAGGAAGAAGAAAUCCUGUGGAAAACGAGAGCUAAACAGCACUGGCUAAAGGAAGGAGACAGCAAUACAAAGUUUUUUCAUGCAGUGGCCAACGGGCGGAAGCGUUGUAAUGAGAUUCACUCUAUUGAAGAUGAGGACGGAAGACAAUUCAGUAACGAAGAGCUUAAGAAAUCCUGUUUCUUUCAAUCCUUUAAACGUCUUUUCGAAAGUGUGGAAGAUGACCCGCCGUCUUUCGGCGACUGGGCCGACCUGUAUCGUGGAGACGUCUCACUUGACACGGAUUCCCUCACAAGCCCCUUCACUAUAGAUGAAAUUAAAAAGGCGACUUUUCAACUGGGAAGUGACAAGGCGCCUGGUCCCGACGGCUUCCCGCUAAUUUUCUUCCAACACUUCUGGGAAACAGUAAAGGAUAACAUUCUUGAUAUAUUCAGAGACCUUCAUAGCGCGAAUCUCUUUACGGCACCGGUCGACUACACGUACGUAUGCCUAAUCCCCAAAAAGGAAGGAGCACGCCUGGUUAACGAUUUCAGACCGAUCUGCCUUCUGAACGGAAUACAAAAGAUUAUCUCGAAAGUUCUUGCGAACAGACUUGCGGGGGUAUUACCUUCUAUCAUCUCUCCUUCACAAUCAGCGUUCCUGGAAAAUCGACUAUUAGCUGACUCGUUCGUCACUGCGAGUGAACUUCUCAACUGGUGUGCAAAAACUAAUAGGGAGUGCGUCAGUGUUAAGGUGGAUUUCGAGAAAGCUUAUGACAAAGUCAGCUGGAGGUUCUUGCAAAGUAUAUUACGAUGGCUUGGGUUCAGUGACAAAUGGUGGAACUGGAUUGAACAAUGUAUCGGCAACGCUAAAGUUGCAAUCUUAGUAAACGGCUCGCCGACUAACUGGAUGAAAACAAGGAGGGGACUGAGACAGGGGGAUCCACUAUCCCCCUACUUAUUCAUUUUAGUGGCUGACUGUCUGGCUAGGGUCACGAAAGCAGCAAGGGCUAACAGUUUACUUCAGGGAAUAGGACCCACAGACGAAUGUCAAACAGUAAUUCUGCAGUAUGCGGACGACACUUUAUUCUUCGCAAAGCCCAAGAAGUCUGCUAUGCGCAAUCUACUCUUCAUCUGGAAGAUGUUUGAAUGGGCAUCUGGUCUUAAGGUAAAUAUGAACAAGACGGAGCUUUACCACUUAGGUAUCACCGCUAACAGAGCGAAACGAUAUGCGGAUAUUUUGGGGUGCAGAGUCGGUAGCCUACCGUUCCGCUACUUAGGCCUUCCGCUACAUAUCAACCCCCUUCGUAAGGAAGAGUGGAUGCCGAUCAUCAACCGCAUCGAGACGCGCAUUGAAGGAUGGAAGGCAAAACUCCUCUCUCAAGGGGGGCGACUCAUCUUGGUCAACUCGGUUCUUUCAAAUCUUCCGUUAUUUUACUUCGCAAUCUUCAAAGUACCGCAAUGGGUGCUGAAACGAAUUGAAGCGCUUAGAAGAUCUUUUUUCUGGAAAGGGUGUUCCAAAAUUUCGGGUGGGUCUUGCCUCGUUGGUUGGAAAACGAUUUGUAGGAGCAAAAAAGAAGGAGGUCUAGGGAUAAAAGACAUGGAAGCGACGAAUAAGGCGCUUUUAGCAAAAUGGUGGUGGCGCUUAUUCAACGAGAAAGGUCUGUUAUGGGGGAAGUUGAUCAAUGCAUUAUAUUACACCAGAAGAAGGCCGCUAUGUGAAGGCAGAUCCUUCAGACCGUACUCUCAGUGGUGGAGAAGUGUGAUGAACUGUCGAGACGUGUUCAAGUGCGGUGUUUCAUAUGUCCUCGGUGAUGGGAAAAAUAUCAGGUGGUGGUCGGAUAUUUGGAUCGAUGAAACCCCUCUCAGUACCCGAUUUCCACGAAUCUUCAGCAGUAUCAUACAUCAGGAAGCCACGGUCUCACAAUGUUGGAACGGAAGAGGAUGGAGAUGGCGCUACUUAACCAGAGGCUAUGAUACUCGUACCAUUGGUCAGAACUGCCAACAGACGGCGUUGCUCAAAAACCUUCUCUCUCACUUUAGCCCAUCAGAUGCACAGGACAAACUAAAGUGGCGGUGGACUACCAACCAAAUUUUUACCGUCAAAUCUCUCUAUGAAUUCAUCACCGACGGAGGACAGACUGAUACCUCGUACGACCACCUAUGGGGCUUAAAAAUCCCACUCAAACACAAAGUUUUCAUUUGGAUUCUACUACGAAAGAGAUUACCUACGGCAGACAGAUUGCUUCGCCGAGGAUGCAUCGUGGAUCAGCAAUGCAGGUUUUGUGUGUCACUAACUGAAACCGUCGACCACCUAUUCCACGACUGUAUCGUUGCCAGAUUUUUUCGUUUUAAAGCAAGAGUUCUAGAGGAGGAGAUUUCGGAAGUGGGGGAUGUUUGCCACCUGUGGACACUGAUCUCGGACAUACCCGUGGCCGUUACAAGAUCAAAAUUGUUAACCAAGCUGGCGGCAAUUUGGUGGGUCGUUUGGACGGAGCGCAACGGCAUAUGCUUCCGCGACGUGGCCUUUAAUGUUUCCAGGGCUCUCGAACGUGUCGCCGUUUUGACCGAAGCCUGGAACGAAGCACUUUGAUUAUCCUCCGGGCUGGGUGCCCUGCCCGUGUCUCCCCUUUGCUGAUUUUGGUUUGCUCGUGUCUACUGGGUCUCACGGACCUGGUUUUUUUCUCUUAUUUAUCUCCUUUCUUCCUUUCUCUUGUUCCCUCGGUUCGGAGGCCCUAGCUGCUUCCAAUUUGUAUGCUAAAUUCAUUUUGCUUAAUGAAUGAAGCAGGUAGCUUGCUACCUUUUUCUCAAAAAAAAAAAAACAAAGUGUCUUUGAUAAACGAAAAGCCAGUGAACUCCGUAGGGAACAUUUGAUCACAUGGGAGAGCACGCUCUAAUCAAAUCAUCUUCCCCGGCCAAAUGUUUCUCCAGCUAAAUAUUUUCAUCUUUUUUUUAAAAAAAGAAAAGAAAAGAAAAUUGAUAGAUGAAUGGGCAAGUAAGGUCAUUCCUUGUGAAAUUCUCUCGACAUAAAAAUUUGAUGAGAUCGAUGGAGAAAACAAUAAGAACGAUAAGAAAUUUAUUGGUUCGGCAAAUCCUUUCAAGGAACUCUCUCUCAGGGAUCUCUCUUUUCUCUCCGACGACAAUUUCACAUGGAGGUUGUAAGUUGUGGAAUCUAAAACAAUGGUUUCGAAACAUAACACUCCAUAACAAGUUUCAGCAUGCAUGCCAUGUUCUGGAACUUAAGUUGUUAGUUCCGGAACAAAGCUCACAUUCUUGAACAUGAAUGAGACGUUCUUGAACAUGAGUUCUCAGACUAGCCUCCAACGCCUUCGGAUUCCACGAACCGUUGCCUCAUAUUCCCAAACACACUUUAUACGAUUUCGAAACAUGAAUCUUGUGACCUGAACACUCGACUCUUGAUCAAUAUUGAAUCGACUCGAAACGUGACUUCACCUCGAUCUAACAAGAUCAUUCCUAAGAAUGAUCAUUCUUACUAUAAAUUUACUAGUAUCUCUAAUCACUGUACUUCCAACUACGUCUGUUUUAGUAUGAAUUGAAAUGCAUUUAGCUACAAAUAUAGCAAACCUAACCCACUCCUCUUUAAAUAUAUAUAUCUCAACACUUUGGAAGCUUAACAAGCCUUAACUAUGGUGUAUGAUUUUGAGGGUUACAGUUAAUGACAACUUGUUAGCUCGAGUGGCGUGAGCCAAUGGCUCAAGUUGCAUUAGAAAAACAAUGAUAAAGGUCCCAAGUGCAUUGCACCUUCAAAAUAAGACACCCCCCUGCGGGAAAACAUAUGCGCAUUUUCGCAUUAAUUGUUGUACUCUUCUGACACGAAUAUUGUGGCGUUGAUUGUUUCCGUGUACGUAAGAGAUCAUGUAAGUAAUAUCAAUCAGUAAUCUGUAACGUGCAGAUGAUUAAAUUAUUCGACAUUUGUAUCGGUUGCAGUUUAAAUUUCGAGUAUUCUUUCCCGUUACGACAGAAAAAUGAAAAGUUCGAUCUUGAGAUUUCCGAAGGCGGAGAAUACUUUCGAUUUAAUCCAUACCACCGUAUAGCUUAAGAUUUCCGUCGAUCCUCCUACGUUGAUUCCUGCACCACUUUAUGUCCAUUUCUUUCUUUGAUGAUUCCUGCAUCUCUUUUAUGUCCAAUUCUUAGUUGUCCCCUUUCCUUGGUACUUACAAGGCAAGAUACACAUGUGCAACAGAGAUAAAGAGAGAUGACACAGAGAAAUCAAGAACGAAACUGGAGGGAUUAAGGUCGAUAGGACGAUCUGUUUGAGCCUCUUUUCACCCCCUCCUCGAAGGCGAAGAGAGCGCAGAUAGGAGGAGCAAGAGAGGAAGGUUUGAUGGCAGGUCAUUUCGGCUCGGAUGCAGUGCUGCUGGUGGUGGUGCUGGCGGCAAUUCUUCUACUGCUCCCUUUGGUGCUUCCUCCGCUGCCGCCGCCACCGUCGCUGCUCCUCUUAGUGCCCGUCGGGAUGGUGCUGCUGCUCGCCUUUCUCGCUUUCGCCCCCUCUCACAACACCUUCGGAAACGCAAACUUUCCGCAAUGAAACAAAACAUCCAUCGGUACGUAUCUCGCGACCGCAAACACCUCUCAUUUGUCUCUUUUCCUCUUUCACCUUUACUUCCAGAAGCAUUAAAGGAAAGGAGAGGAAAGAUGAUAAAAAUGGAAAGCGACUAAAAGACAGAUUCCUUCUUAUCACUUACUGAUUAUUUGUUGGUUCUUCUACAUCAAAUACUAUUUCCAUCAAUGUUGUAUUUGAUUCUUCCCCUCAUAGGAUGAGUGAAUUAUUUUCUGGGAAGAGGCCUUAGGGAGAACUUUUGCUCUGCCCACGGCCAAAGAUCAAACACAAAUUUACAUGUGAAGAGGAAAUAAAUGGGAGAAGGGAACAAAAAGGGAGGCGCCCGUCGGAAGCAGGAUGAAAUAUAACCCCUACCCUUGGAGCAGCUGCGGUGGUUGCGAUUGUUCGGGCGGACUCUGCAGCGGAGUCAAGCAAUAGAGGAAUAAGCCGGCAACGAGAACUGCAGCACCAGCAACGAAGCCCGCUGGGAGCGAUGACGCCACUCCGAUGUAUGGUAAGGGCAGUGUGAAUGCGUAGAUGGACAACGGAACUGCACCACAACCAUCAUCAACAAACUGUUACAUUUUCCACUUAAAAUGUACCUGGUUUUGAAAGGUAGAAGGGAACGGCGGAAGAAAAGAAAACAGAGAAAGACCGGUGCUACUAGUUAGAUUUGUUUUCAUUGACAUUUGCAAAAGUAAUUGAUAUGUUGAUCUUCUGUAACUCCGCAAAUGAUCGUUAUGAACAAAACAAUUCAUAUCUUCCGAAAUCAAAACAAGAGAAGCUAAUUGAUUAUACAAAACGUGCCGAGUAAGACUUCACCAUCAGGUAGCAUAAGGAGCUCGAGAAAAUUAAAGUAUCAUUUUGUCACCCAGGGCAUACCAAUUUAGACUAUUUUAUCUCUGAAAUCAAAUGGAGAAUAACAAACGAAGCUGAUUUAAUUAUUUUUGUCAUAAUAGUAACUAAAAAGGAACCUACGAUGUCAGUGAGUAAAAAUACCCAAGCUUUUACCCGGAUCAGAACCUGAAUGAGGCGGUUUUAACCGAACAUAAUUAGGGACAGUUUCAGUGAUCGGAAAGAAAUUAACAGAUAAGGCAAGGAAAACAGAUAGCAGUUACAUAGAGAGAGAGUAAUGGGAAGACCAGAGAGCUAACCUGAAAAUGUGGAAGCAAGGCAAGAUACCACUGCAGAAGACAUUUUGAGAAGGUGUAGCAAAGAUAUGUUGAAUGCCAUGUUAACUAUUACAAAGAGAAGCGGCAGCAGCGGUGCUCCUUCACAUCCUGCAAGAAACCAUCAUUAUUAGGAACUUUAGUUGGAAAGAAGGAAAAAGAACCCAGCAGAAGCUGAUGUGAAAUAUGAAUUGUGAUAAGUACCAGCCGAUAAUGAUCCUAUAUUGAGAAAACAAGCUGCACCAUCUCUUAUGUAUGUAGGCAGGAGAUGGAAUGGAACUCCCCACAACUUAGACAAAAGGGGUAGAAGAAGACAUAUAAAGAAUGCCUGCAAAAUAUCAUUUUUAAUUGUUAAGAAAGUUCAAAUUCCAAUUGAAAUUUGGGUUUCAAGUUAUUGUCAAAUAUGGUAGGCACCUGGUAAGCAGAUCCGAACGAGUUGACAACAAAAAGAUCAACCGUUCCUCCCUGUGGUAUGCAGAUUUUGCUUGUUAGGAAGCAUUAUAAGUAUAAAACACAAACGAAGAAUUGAAAAGGUAAUAUACUGAUAAGUGAAUAGUGACAAUAUUUUGCUAUCAUAACUUCCGAGAAAGAUGAUUAUGGCCAAGAUUGGGAAUAAUUCUCCCAGUGCAGCAGCUUUGAGUUUUUAAAUCACCAUACAAAUCUGAAAACGCCUGAAAGCUCCAUAUCUUCCUAUGUGCCCAAUAACACCGAAAAUGUGGCUGGACAUUAGAUUGAUAUUAAUACUGGAAGGCUGGAGAUCUAAAUUGCUUUCAGAUUUUUAUGGAGCUCCAAAGUACCCAAAAUGGCUGCUACAGGAGAAGCAAUCAUAAUCAAGUCCUGUAUAGUGCAACACAAAGAGAUCAAUAAUACCAACGAGUGUACCUUCAGCUUCUUUGCAGCAUCCAAGAAUAUUAUCUCCUACAGAUUAACAAUGUUUGACUGCAUCAGAAAAAACUUAUCUUAACAACUUGGGGUAGUGGAUAUAAUUUCUCAUAUCUACUUCGGUAGUUUUGAUACCUUCAAAACUGUGUCGGCAGCUUGAAACAAAAAUGAAGUAAUCAUCAAAAGGGGCCAAAAUAUCCCAGAGCCUUUAAGCGAAACGCUUGCACCAGAUCCACUGCAUAUGUCAAAGUGAAAGUACUAAUAGUAGAAUGACUCAGAAUUAUAGAAAGUAUUUACUAAUUUCUACUCAUAGCAUCAGAACAGGGUAUCUCUAUAGCACUUCCACUUUUCAUCAAACCGGCCGAUUUUAGGGAAGCACUUCCAAACUAGACCUUAAGGUACUAACUAUUUUCUGGUCAUGCUACCAAUUAUGCAUCAUGCAUCAUAUGGAAAUAAUCAUCAAUAUAGAACAACUUACUGCAAGGAAGAGUACAUGUCCCUGCUAGAAGUGCAAUGCAGCUGACAACUGUUUUAGCAUGCUUGCAUAAUAUGGUCCUUGAACUCAUCAUGAGUAAUUAUAGAAAAUCUGGUAAUAGAGUAAGAAUUUCUAUUUAUUGCUUACAAAUAAGUGAAUCAACUUUCAGUAUUUCAGAGGAUGCUUAUAAAUAGUUCAGAAGCUUCUCAUUUACAAAGCCAAUGCGAACAGGGCGAACAGGGCAAUUUCAGUUAUUAUUAUAACAAAAACUCAAGAUUUGAAACAUUUCUUUCUUCUUUGUGCGUUAUACGGUCAAUGAUAUGUUACUGAAUUCAUAUUCGCUGAAUAUACCUUGCUACAGUUAUAAUGACACCAAUAGCAACAAGUAAGCAUCCUAGUAGCUGGUUGGACUUGUAUCGUCUCCUCAGAAAAAUAACCGACAAGAUAAGCUGCCAAACAAGAAAGGUCUGCAAAAAGAAACAUUACAAACUAUUAAUUUUGAAAUACACAUAUACCUGAAAUCAUAAAGGAUGUAAAACAGUGAAAAGUUUAUUCACCUGCGAUAGUAUUGGAAUUGAAGCCCCGGAAAGAACAGCUGCUCCAAGAAAGAGUGAGCAAAUCAAACCAAGUAUGAUAAGUAUUAGAAAUUAAAAUUGAUUCACUUUCACAAAAGAACUCCGAAAAAUGGGGGAGAGGUUAAAAAAGAAAAAGAAAAAAAAUAUACUGAAACUCAUGGGAUCUAACAACUUUGUGUGUGUGUGUGUGUGUGUGUGUGUGUGUGCGCAUGUGACAAUUUGUACAUGGACAAUAGCAGACAAUAAAUUGGCCAGAUAUCACUGUAUACUUUAUAGUGUCAAAUGUCACUAUGAAUUGGAAAGCAGUGCGAUAACAACUUGUACACAUGUCAUAACAUGAAGAAUUAAAAGUGUCAAAUUGAUUUUAUCUACUUUGUGUGCAUCGAAAGCAUUUUGAUUUAGCUUCUAGAAUUUUGUCUACUACAUGUUUACAUGAGGAACAGACAGAUUUACCAGCUCAGUUGUACUGCAGAUGUAUCCUUUUAGAAUAGGAUAAAUGAUGCAUGUAUGAUUGACUACAGAAAACUAAUAAACUUUCAAAAAUGAACUUUACCUCCAGCUGCCAUGCCAGAUGCGGCUCCUAGAGCUUCUAGCAGUCCUACAGCUAGAAACGGCGUCUUUGGUAGAGAAAGCAUUUCAUGGGUUACAAUGCCAGCGUGAUAGCGAAUAUACAGGAUGGAGAAGUACACAACCACAUAUCUGGUAUUCAAAAGUACGCAUGUAGCCAAAUUAGAAAUAUCACUUACCAAAAUGUGAAUAGAUGAAUGAGUUCAAAUUUUGUAGUACAUUGUGAGUGAUAAAAGCAUGCUAACGCUAAGUUUGGUUUUUGGUUAACUAACAGAACAAUAGGUCAUAUACAAACUAAGCGAUACCCCCAAGUUUCAAACCAUCUAGAAACUCGUUAUACUAAACAAUAUUCUUUUUAGCAUAUAAUAACAUGACCAAUUACAUGAUCUAAUUAUCACCCCAGGAUUUCGAUAUCAUUCGAAUGCAGAUCCGGUUCACGAGUUGGUCAAACCGGUUGAUAGAGCCAUUGGGUCGUCGAACCCGAAAGCUAUGGUCGAGAGAGCUGCUACUCAGAGUCUCGGAUCAACCAAUUGGUAAAAUAACUAGUUGCCUAGUUAGGAUCAAUCCCCUGUUAGAAUCAUACCCUUCCAAUUUAAAAUUGUACUCGGAAUGCUCUCUCUCGAGGACAUAGGCUCCAAAACAAAUGUUUAUCCACCACUUUUAUGUCAUGAAUUUAAUGAAUUAUUAAGAAAGAAGAGUAUAGUUCAAUCUAAAGUACAUCUCAAAUUUCUGGAGUUUCAAUGUCCUUUUUCCGCUGGACAAUGUAGAACACAUUUGGCAAGGGCUGCUCUAAUUUUAUAUUUUUCACAAAAAAAUCAAACAAUAUUUUAAGCUUGGAAUUAUAUUUCUAUGAUAAAAAGCAAAGUAAACGUGUUAAGAACACGCUUACGCACAUGUAAAAUUGCAGCAUCCGUGAUAUUUAAGAGGCUACAAUCAGAUGCGCACUAAUAAGCUUUUGAGUGGUACGAGUCCCACAUUAUUUCAACUAAGAAACAACUUGUCUAUGCGUAACAGGAUGGUCAGACUUGUUGCCUGCUGGUGGGUCAUUUGGACGACCAGGAAUGAUGCAAUUUUUAGUAAGACCGAGCCGGACCCCCUACGUGAUGUCUAUAAGAUUAAACAGUUGACGAACCUGUGGGAGCAUCAUAUCACAGCUAAGAAGUAACAACAUAUCACCCUUUUUUUUUCACCCUCCUCAAGACUUCGGAUGCCUCACCCUUGUAAUUUAAUUCAUCCUUUUAAUGAAUGAAGUAACAUGUUAGUUUUCCCUCAAAAAACAAACAACUUAGUCAAUUUUAUGUAUUUUUCUCAAAAGACAAAACAUUUUUUUUCAAUAUUAAUUAAUUGUGCAUUAAUUUAUGAAAGUCAUAGGAAAUGGGAAAUGGGAAAUGGGAAAUGGAAGGUGCGUAACGGCUUUUCGCAGCCGCAACGCGCCACGCCACACGUUCCGUUGCUCGACACAACGACACACGACGAGCUCGAACGUGCCAAACAAAAUGUGGGGCCCAACGACACGUGCUCUUUCUUUUUCUUUUUCUUUUUCUUUUUUCCACUUCUUCAUCUCACGACAAUAUCAGAAAAUUUCUAAAUAUAAAUAAUUAGUUUUAAUAGUAAUUAUAAUCCGCUCUUUUUAUAGAUUUUUGUUUAAUAAUGAUUACAAAAUUGGGGAAAAAAAUUGGACAAAAAAGCGACCACAUACAGUCCUAUCAAGUCGCACGUGGACACGUGUACGAUAACGGAGAUCGACACAGCACUUUUAACCGCCGUUAUUUCCCUCGGGAACAAAUCAACCUACUCUUUCUCACGGUACAGCUACGCCGUUAAUGACACUUCAGACGACAAAAUUAAAAAGAAAAAAAAAAAAACAUUGCACCACGAGUGUCCAAAAUUAAUCCAAAUCUGAUCGAUGUUUUAACAUUUAAACUAAAAUUUCUAAAUAAUUAUUUUUAAAAGUAUUUACUUAAUCAAGAGAAAUUUACACAUUUUAGCAUUAAUAGUUUACAAGAAAAAGAAAGCAAUUUCCAAAACUUAAUUACAGCAAAAUGAGAAAAAUUAGACCGAAUUAUUAUCCAAAUUAAAUUUGAAAAUUAGAAAAAUAAGGAGGAGGAGGAGGAGGAGGAGGAGGAGGGAGUGGUGGAAACACNAAACAUUUUGUACUACCAAAUGUUGGAUAUAUAUAUGUUUACAUUCAGUAUUCUCUAUUACUAACUAAUUUGGUGUUCUUGCGUUAUUAGUGUAGUGGCUUUUUAUUUAUAUGAAAUUUCUUCACACAUGUGACUCUGGAUGAGAUCUGUGAUGCACAUAUAAAUCACAAAUAAGGGUCAGGGGUAUCAAGGAUUUUAGUGCUCGUCACCACAAGCUGUCUCUACUUUAUUAUACUAUGUUGACAAAAUAUUGACACGAUACAAUUUCAUGCCAAAGGCACGUACGGCUCAAACCCUCUUUUUUUUUUUUUUUUGUCACAUUAGCAAAUAGUUAUCUAAACUAGGAAAGAUCAGAUAAAAAUAAAAUUAAAGCAUGAAAUCCUUUAUGCUUCCUUCCUAAAGCUCUCUACCCAACUUGGGAGAGAGCUUCUAGAGAGAGGGAGAGAAAUGAGAGAGGAGUGUAAUAGCUGUGAGAGAGAGAGAGAGAGAGAGAGAGAGAGAGAGAGAGAGGGUGUUGGGAUCUUUUUAUAAGUUGUUACAAUAGCAAAAAGGCCCUCAUUUUUUUUUAUUUACAGCAAACCUAACCUGCUGUUUCGCAGUCGGCAUACCGGUACGCGGGCAAUUUGUCACCGGUACGCUCCCGCGCAGCUGCCGAGAUUCGAGACCUGAUGUUCUCGGUCUGGCGUAGGGUAUCAGUACUCGGGAAAAUAGUCACCGAUCAAUAGCCUUGACGGAGGCUAACCCGAGAGCUGCUACUCUCGGUCAGCUGCUUGGUGCCGGUACUCUUUGAAAUAGUCACCGGUUAACAAUGCUUCAAAAUUUUCGUUUUACAUUAUUUCGACUUUAUUUCGCACCGAGUAAUAUUAAAACCUUUUUAACUCACUUGGAACUCAACUUUGACCCUUCCAACAUUAUUGAAAUGCUAAUUGGAUUUUGUCCAAUUAUUUCUCUCGCACACUUUAGUCGAUUUGACUAAAAUUCGAUAUACACUAUCGAGGCUUCGGUAUAUUACACUGGACGUAAUGUCGUUUAAGCUGCUCCAUCGCCCGAAGGGAGGGCUCGUUGCGGCGACCGUAGGGGCCGAUGGCGACCAUUCGGGGCUUGUACAGCACCGUGUUGCGCUCCCGGAUGAAGGCUGCGACGCGGAAGAAGGUGAAGUUCUUAUCCGCGGCCGUCGGCUCAUCGCUCAAGGCGCGUUGUUUAUGCCUGGCUCUCAGCAGGGACUUGGACUUGGGAAUAUCUAGUGCCACUUCCACUCCUUCCAUCGUCAACCUGUACCAGAGGUUCUCAAACUCUCACGAAUUUAUUGGUGCAGAAAAAAUAGGAUGAAAGAGUCCUCCCUCGGCUUAUCUAUAUCCGCAGCUAUGUUAGUUAACUCACGAAUUAUUCGCGAAUUUUUGAAAAAACAAAUUAAACGGCCGAAUACGUAUUUUUUCGAAAAAUUCGAAAAAAAAGUGAUUUUUUGACUAAAAAAUACGGAUUCGCGUAUUAUAGGGCGAGCCGUAUUAUUCGGCCAAAAGAAACUGCUCACACCCGCGCAGCCCGUGCCUGCCCCCGCCGCUCGUGCCUGCCCGCGCUCCCGCGGGCUCCCGCACGCGCGCAUGGGCCGGCGUGCCCAAAACAGUGAAAUGCCAAAAAAAAAAAAAAAACUCUCCAAACACCUUGCCUAAGACCCAAAAAAAAAAAAUUUUCUUUUCAAAUUUUUACUUAAUUAAUUUAAUUUUAUAGCUAUUUAUUUUUAUAUUUUUUAAAAAAUAUGAAUAUUUAUACUAAUAGCAUAAAUUUUAAAAAAAAAAUAAUUUAAUAGCCGAAUUUUUUAUCCUGAAUUUUUAAUUGGUAAACGUAUAAUAUCCGUAUAAAUCACGUAUCCGAAUAAUUGAUGAAUCUAUUUUUUAGCCAUACUUUUCAACGAAUUUAAAAAUUAGAAAACGAAUUUUAUCCGAAUUAUAUCCGUACCAAAUUUUUACCGAAUCCGAAUUAACUAACUAUGAUCUGCAGACGCAGAGCACCCUGGAUUGGGACAGAAAUUAUUCGGAGAUUUGAAAUUCAAAAAAAUAAAAGUGUAUAUUUGAGCCCGUCGAACAUAUCGCUAUUUGGACGUUAGAUUUCACAUCUCGAGUAAAAAUCUAAUAUAUAUUUAAAAAUCACAAAAAAAUAAAAAAAUUAAAUAGUUUUUUAGAUAAAUUUUUAGUUUCAAAACUUAGUAUCAAAUUAAUUUUCAAACUCUUAAUUUUAAAAUUUUUAAAAUUCUUAAUUAUUUUAUGUUAGAUAUAUUUAUAUAAUUUUUAAUACUAAUCUUUUUUUUUUGAGAAAAAGAUAAUAUAUUAUCCCCUUCGUUCAUUUUUUUUUGAAAAUAAACUUACACAGAAUUAUGAAAUAAUUAGGUUCUAAACUUAGAACUUCAGUUACCAACCGCCAAGUCUUUUGUCAAUUACACUAGAGACCAGCGGUUAUUAGUGGAUUUACAUAAAAAUUAUUAUUAUAUCAAAAGUCUGCAUAAUUAUUUGUCAUUAAGUUUUGAAACUAAAAAUUUCAAAUUUCUUUCUAGUAAUUGUUUUAAUAUAUGUAAAAUUAUUUAAAUUAAUUGGUGCUGAGUGCUGAAAACUAAUUAAAUAAGGUGUCUCGAAAUAUGAGAUUAGUGCACACGGGAAGAUAAAUUUUACAUUCGUAAAUUCAUAAUUUUUUUUCUUCACCCCUUUUUGACUUUUAUUCCCUGUGGUGCUUUCUUUUUUUUUCUUUUUUGUUGAGAGAAAGAUAACAUAUUAAUUAUUUUGUUUAUUUUUUUAAAAUAAAUUUAAUUAAAAAUGUGAAGCAACUAUAAUUGAAAUUUUAAAUUUUGGAUAUCAAUUACUAAACCUUUUGCGCAGCAGCUGGGACGUUUUUAAGCCCUCGGAGCUAUAUUUAGGGAUGUCGAUGGGUAUAGAUACCAAAAAUUUUAUCCGAAUCGACCCAAAUGAAACGGAUAUAUCCGCUGGAUAUGAAUAUGAAUUCGAAUAUAGAUAUGAAAAAUAGAAACCCGACGAAUAUAUAUUCGGAUAUGGAUUUUGAUUGUGCCUGACCUAACCCGAACCCGAUCCCGAUCCCGAUCCGAGACCGAAUUUAUUUUGUAUUAUAUUAUAUAUAUAUAUAUAUAUAUAAAUUUGAUGUUAUAUUUGAAUUUAUAUUUCAAAAAUUUAGAUUUAAUAUAAUAUAUUUUAAAAUAUUGAAAAAAAAAUAAUUGUUUCGGGUUCAAAUUUUAGGGUUCGGGUUCAUGCUCGGGUUUCGAAUUUUUGGUCGGGUUCGAGUUUGGAUAUGAAUAUUUAAAAUCCGUCGGGUUUGAGUUCAGGUUCAGAUUUCGGGUUUGAAAUCGGGUUUGGAUUCGGAUUUUUAAAAAUCCACCCCGAAUCCGAUCCAUUGACAUCUCUAACUAUAUUAGCUGUUGGAGAUCGAUUGGGAAAAAUACACAGUAAUGAUCUUACUCCAAAGUGCAUCUUCUUUUCUUGUGCACGUGUUAUAUGAAAACGAAUAAAAUAUUAUUUAAAAAUAUUUGUAUUUAUAUAUGAUAUUAUUUAUAUUUGGAUAGAAAAUAUUAAAAUAGAAAUGAUUAUGAUUUUAAAAAAAUUAUAAUUAUUCAGAUAUUCAAAAAAUGAAUAUAGAUAUGAAUAACCAAAUAUUUUAAUAGUAUUAUAUUUUAUAGUAAUAAAUUAAAUUAUAAUAUUAUUUGAUUCCUAAUAUGUGUGUGGGAAAUAAAUAUUUAAGAAAAGCAAAGAGAAUUUGAAUUUGUUUAUGCAUAACUUAAUUCCUGUAUAAAUUAGAUUUAUAGAUCACUUGCACAGUUGCACUAGAUCAAAUAUCUUAUUUUGAGACAAACGUAGUACAUCAUCUGCUUCAUUUAUAAAAAAAAAAUACAUUAGGUUAUAACGAGUGAGGUAACUGUGCCUCGAGAUAAAGUGUGAAAUAAUAAUAAUAAAAAAAAAACUACAGUUGUUUUUUUUUUUUUGAGAAUAAGAUAGCAAGCUAUCUGCUUCAUUUAUUAAGCGAAAUGUACUAAGCGUACAAGUUGAAGACAGCUAGGGUCUGCUAAAAGGUCCGAACGGAUACAAGAAAGACCGACAAACAGAUACGAGAAAGGCCCAAAAAAAAAAAAAAAAGUUGAAGGGUCAAGGGAUCUCAGUUGUUGAAAUCAACAUGUUCAUAGCUAGACUGUGCGAUCAUUGGAGUCAGUUCAUCAGUACUCGCCCGCAGUACCCGGAUCUCAUCCCACAACCUCUCUAAACAUCGCAGCCUCUCUAAAUAUCGCAUAUGAAAUAGCAACCGACGAGAAUCAACUCUUUGGCCCUAAAAAUGUCUUUUGUUUUUCUCCAACCACGGGACCCAAUAAGUGGCAGCAAUAACGGAGAACCCCUUUUUCCACCGAGUGGCAGCAAUAAUGGAGAAACCCUUCUUCUUUGUUGUGCCCUCCUUCGAUCUAAACAGCUUCCAGAGCAGCUCCAACCACAGCUCCCGUCACAGGACCCACCAGAUCAAAUAUUACAGUUGCGUACACCAAUUUAAAAUUUGAAUAUACAUAUAUCAAACUUAAAUUUAAAUUUGGAUCUAUUAAUCCUUCUGAAAUCAAAGUUUAUUUCUCUUUCUACGGCUGCAACUAAAUGAGAAUCGAAAUGAAAUCCUUUCAAAUCAAAUAAAGAUAAUAGAAAUCAGUUGUUCUAAUUCCAGAUGAGCAUAAAUCUGACAUAUUUUCCAAUCCAGAGAUCAACAAUUUUACACUGGUCUGAUCACUUGAGCGUACAAGCAGAGUAUCCCCUGAGGCAAACUAAUUCCUAGGAUGGUAGUAAGGGAAGAUGGUGUAGAAGGUCUGCAGGAAGGUGAAAACAAGAACGAAAACUGCUGCGAUCAAGGAAAGGAUGGCCCACGGGUUGCCGAAAUAGUCCCUGACCAGCUUCGCCCUCCACUUGGGCCAAUCGGAAUCGCAGUACUUCCUCACGUCCCGGAACAACCCGGCGAGGUAGUGCUUCUCGAAAUCCAUGGCGGCGCAGUCGGAGAGCUGGUUGAAGAACACCGCCAGCUCCUUGUCGCUCGCCAGCUUGUUCUCCAGGAUCCCGCUCUGGUGGAGUAUCGCGACGUCUGCCGGCGUGUCGAUGAUGCAGUCCAUGAACGUCGCGUAGCUCGUCAUGUACGCCUCCUCCGGCUUGCACCCGCCGCACUGCUCGAAUGCCACGAGGUUCGUGAACCGCGAUAACGUCGAGUUCUCCACCGAGAGGAAUGGGAUCUCGAGCACGCCGUCGUGAAAUGCGACGUCCAGGAACGAACCGGGAUGAUGCUGAUCACUCUCGUUCCUUUUCCUCUUCUCGCCCUUCCUCUUAAACGUCACUCCGGCCUCCUCGAGCUCGGUCGCGGACGGGAUCGUAUUCGGCGAUCGUUUCUUAUCCGCCGGCGCCUGCGAUCGGGAAAUCUUUAUUCGGAGAUAAGAGAGGAGGGAGGCGAAGAUCUUAGUCGGGUUUAACCAUUUGAGAAUAGUACCGCAGAUGGUACUGCCCCUCGGGUCAGUUUGUGGUUUCGUGAUGUAGCAGCGGUAGUAGAGAUGCAACAGGUGGUGGAAAUCUUUGGCUUCGCCGUGCACCGAAACGGCGGCGGAGACGCGACUGGCGAGCAUCUCUUCCUCGGGCCUCUCGACGUUUCUGCUCGCGAGGUAGUUCACGAGAAGCUCCAUCAGGGAGGGUAUCUCCUCGUCGUCCAUGGUGAACGUGACGAGCUCGAACAGCUUCUCGAGCACGAAGAGGGGGAUCUGGUUCUCGAGCAGGAGCAGGUCGCCGCGCACGAGCGGCAAGCUCCAUCCGGCGGUGCAGACGCUGUCGUCGUCCCCCUGGCUCCACUUGAUGAUGAACUCGAGGACGAAGCACCCGUCGAGGAGCAGCAUCUCCACGAAC
rnacentral:lncRNA from 1 species